rnacentral:lncRNA from 1 species
GAGUUCCAGUGUGACGGAGAAGAAAGUUUUCAGUCAAACGUCAAUGUAACUCACAAGUGAAGGAGGCUAUGUGAGUCAGAUGGAGUAGAGAGUUCCCAGUCAGAUGUAAAUGUAAUUCAGAAGAGGAGGAGGCUAUAUUAUCAGUCAGGUGGAGAGGAGCUCCCUUUCAGACCUAAAUCUACAUAAUCGAGUUAUUUGUUAUAAUUCUUAGGUAAAAUCCUUCUUUUUAUAUUAUAUUAAAACGAUAUUCUAGAAAGUUCAAUCCAUAUAAGAUAAAGUUGCCAGUGGUUUGUUCAGCUUGAUAAUUGUGUUCUGCAAAUGGAUCUUGUGUACUUGUUUUACUCCUGCAACCAUUUAGAUCUUGCCAAUCAGCAUCAUCUACAAUGGCAUACAUUUGAGCUUAUUGCUGGACGUCCUGAUGAUAUUUUAGAGGAUGUGUGAUGAUGCUAUAAAGGAUCAUGGUGGUGGUGGUUCUUUCUCAAGAUGAAAUAAUCUCUUUGGGUCACUUUAUUAUCUCAUAGGAACAGAGAUAAUAAAUCCAACCAGCAUCAUCUACAACCAUUUAGUCUAUAUUUUUCGCUUUUUAGUUGGUACCUUGCCUCAUUGCUAUCAAGAUUUGAUGGUCAUUACAAACCUACCCCUUGCCUUUGUUUACGUUAAUAUUGCAAGUGCAUUGGCUGAUACGCAUAAGAGUUUUCUCAUUUGAUUCAGGAAUAAGAACAACCAGUAUGAUUUUACAAAUUGGCUUAGUUGUGGCAUUUUGGAAAAGUUGAAUUGAAAAUCUAAUACGAUGGUUUGUGACUCUCUUGAAACAGGUACUGUAGAUAAAUUAAUAGGCUUCCCUCAAGUCAAGGAAGAAGAGCAAUUACUGCCUUUGGCCUCUCUUAUUUCCUUCGAACCAGCAAGUCGUGGGAUUCUAGAAAAACUUAUGCAGCACAAUAAAUUAAAGUUCCCAUCUUCUCCUAUUUCUUUGUGUACUCACAAUUUAGUGCAACAACUCCAAAACCUUGAAGAGAUAAACACGAUUAUUGUCUAAAAAUAGAGGAGUUGAUAGGAGAAGGAGAAGAAAAAAAACAUGACAGAUGAAGGGAGCAAGAAGAACAUCACUGCAAUUAUCAAUACACUCCUAAGGUUAAAGAAAUUGUACUAGUCCAAAGUCCAAACAACCAUUUGCCCUCUGCUAUAUCCUUGGAAGAAAUGAAUGGUGGGAAUCAAGGAGUCUUAUGCAGAAGGUAUGUUAAUAGUUAAUACUAAGAAUAUUUUCCUGUCUUCAAGGUUGCUGCAACAGCUCCAAAACCUUGAAUGCGCUUCCAUCUUUUUCAAUUAUUUCUUAUUGUUGGGUGAGAUUCAGUUCUUUUUCCCAGUUAUUUCCUUGAAGUUUCUUUAGUUAAUUAUUUCAAUGCACGCCUCAUUUGGAGCAUUAGAGGCGUAUGCCUCAGUGGUUUAUAGUACUGCCCCACUUCAAGUCGCACCUCAAAAAUGCCUUUUUAUUUAAAUUAUGUUUGUGAUUGAAAGUUAUUUCUGAUCAAGGUUUAAACGCCUUUGUUUUGAAAGGGUUAAGUCAGGCCCUGACAGGAAACGGCGCUGACGAUCAGACCAAAGCUCUAUCUUCUAUGUUUACUUCUGUUAUUUUUAAUUUCUGUUAUAGGACAGGAAACGGCGCUGCUCAUAUCUUGGCAUCCAAAACAGAUAUUAGCUCGCCAGUUUCGUGCUCUUACCUCUAUCCCCCUGACUGGAUUCUGUUACAGUUAAAACACGAUAUGUUAUUCUGUAAUAUGGCUACUGAUUAGCUUUUCUAAUAUAUCUUAUGAUUACUAAAACAAAAAAAAAGUCAGGCCCUGACCUGUAUUCAUUAAAAUCUUAGAUAAACAACUCCUUCUGGAUCCUCCCUUACAAGUUACAAGUUCACUAACAAUGUGAUCCAUGGGAGGGCAAAAGCAAGAUAUAUGAUAAACUCUCCCAACACCUGUAGCAGCUUGGUAGCAAGCUACUUUGUUGGCUUCUUUAUAGUUAUGAGUUUCAAAUACACUUCUUUAUAGUUGAAUGAUUACUUCACUUUUGGCAAAACAUCUUUAUCUAGGGACAUAAGGGAAAAUUUACACCCACAUGGCAACAUCCUAUAUUGAAUAGAUCUUUAAUUUGUCAGACAAAAAUAUACAUGUUUGAAUCCUUUGUGAUAGACUGAAAGCUUUGGUGUUCUCUAGCUCUUGUACAGGUAACUUUUUUGUAAUUCAUAUUUGAAUCAUCUCCUUCCUUUUCUAGCACAUGCCAAAUCAAUCUAACUAAAAUUCUAUGACUUCGACCCUUACAAGAUGAAGCCUCAAUGCUCUGUUGUGGUUGAUAAAUAUGCUUUGCAAAUUGAGUUCUUGUUCUUAUUUCAGUGGUUUAAAAUUUCCUUAAGGGCCCGUUCGGCAAAGGCCCAGAAAUACAUUUCUGAGCUUCUUGAAAGUAAAGAAGUUGUAAGAGCAUUCCCAAUAGUAAAAGGGUUUUAAGGGUGCCACAUAGGAGAGAGAGAAAAGGUUUUAGCAUAAAAUUUAUGUUAAAAGUGAUUAGCACUUUUAGAGUUACCAAUGGUUGGUUUUAAAACAAGGGUUAAAAUUUAAGGUUUCACUUUUCCCAAAAAAAUAUAGUGUACAUUGUAAUGAAAUCUAAUUUUUAAUUAAUAAAAUGGUCCUAUGUGGCACUUUUAACUCCUUGGCAAAUUUGCCAAGGAGAUAAAAGUGUUUUGCUUGAAAAAUGUGUUAAAACCUACUAUUGGCAAGAGUUUUUUACUAAAAGUUGCUAAAAGUGAUUUAAAACCUACCAUUGGGAAUGCUCUAAGUCUGUUCGGAAAAUCUUAAAACAGAUUUAGAAAUGAAUUAAUGAUAAGUUAAGAAAUACAUUUUUUGGUAAGUUUUAAACAUUAGCUUUCUCCUUUCUCCUUUCUCCUUUCUCUUAUCCCGUAGCUACUUUUUAGGAAAUUCAUUCAGAACUUCUACUUGGUUACCGAAGGGGCCCUAAAGGUUGCUUAACAAGUAUUAUUUACUAUUCGAUUAAAUUGCUCAAGUUGCCAGUCUUAAAGCACUUUAAUUGAUGAUAUAGCAGUUUGAACUCUGAAAUUCAUCGAUUUUCAAAUUCUAACAAGCAAAUAUAAAAUUAUAAGCUUAAUGAUCUAAUUUGUGGGAUUCAAUGGUCCCAUAGUUCAUGUUCUAAGCAUGUUGAGCUGAUGCUUUUGUAAAGUUUUCAGAUAUAUUACUUGCCCACCUAGUACCUUUGUUUUUUAGCAUGCUCUUACCACCUAUAUGGAUUUAUACAGAUGAAUCCAAUAGUUGGGAAGCGAUACAAAUGCAAACACUGUUUGGAAGAACGUAUUGUCACUUAGGAGGCAUAGGCAGACUUGAGCAGUGUUUAGAUCUUGUCAAUCAGCAUCACACACAAGGGCGUACGUGUGAACUUAUUGUGAAUGAUCGUAAUCCUGAUGAUGCUUCAGCAGAUGCAAAAUAUGGUCUUGUGUUUGCAAGACCUACCGAAAUUGAAGGACAUUUGGAGGGGUGUGAUAGUUUGCGACUCUAUUCAGAAUAGAAGGGGCUUCUCAACUUACAGGGCAAGAUCAAUCAGCACCACCAGCUCUUCAGUAUAUAUAUCGGAGGAAGCUGAAAAUGGCAGGAUUUUCUGGAGGGGGAUCCUGCUUAUGCUAAAAAUAUAGUUUAAUGAGGUUCUGGUUUAUGCAUCAAAAGCCAGUAUGUACAAACACUAUUCUCAAUGCCCAUAUUAUACACAUUCCAGAAUAUUCAACAUUAUAUCUUCCUGUUCUGUGUUCCGAAUCGAUCUGCUAUCCAGGUUAAAUUGUGCCAGUGUUCGAUAAUUUCCGUGUUUUGACUUAGAGUUCCCUAGUUAAACUGAUAACUGACAUUAAGACAUUGUAUCUAUCCUUUGCGCAGCUGUUUAACCAUGAGGGCGCUUGAUUUGAUUUGUGCACCAUGUGUUACUCCUCGUCAUGCUUGCACGGGUAGCUUGUUUAUGCAGUGAUGUCUGACAAAAAGUUUAUUUACGAAGAGUCCUAUUACGUUCUUAUUCUCUCCUUUUCAACACCUGCCCCUUUCUGCUGACCUCUCACGAUCUCUUUACUUUCAAGGAUCAAUCAUAUGAACUCCUAUUAAGUAAGCAAAAAGUCUAAAAGUCCAAUCAAUUCCUCCUAAGCUUCAGCCAACACUGCUCAUUCUUUGCCCUUUCCUUAUUCCCUCUUUCUUUCCUUGCACACCAACUUAUAACAGGUUUGGGUUUAGACAAACAGAUUCGGUUCAGAUUAUUUAUUUUUUUAUUUCCUAUUUAUAGACUCUCAGUCCUUUAACCUUUCCUAUUCUGAUCUAACCCACUCUAAAAAAUUCUAGUUGAGACCCUUUCUAUAUUUGUAUUAGUAAUAUUAGGAAAUUUAAAUCCAACAUCACUACCAUACACAAAAUAUACAAAGCAAGUAUGACUACUACUAGUAACUACUACAAGAUUACAAGAAGUAAUACAACUAUCACACAAACCAUAUUCACAGAUUAUAUAUCGAGAAACAUUAAGCAUAUGAUAAUUUAGUGUGGGGAAUUACAUUCAUCCCCCUAAAUGAAAAUUUCGUCCUCGAAAUUUAACAUACCUCGCAGAUGGGCAGCCAAGGAUAUUUCUGACGAAUCUCGUCUUCUUGUUCCCAUGAUGCUUCCAUCUUUUGAAUGGUGAUCCCAUAACACCUUAACUAGUGAGAUGGUUCGGUUCCUCAAUACUUGUCGUUUGCGAUCAAUGAUUUUGAUAGGUCGGUCCUCAUAUGUAGCAUCUUCUUGUAAAUUCGAGGCAUCUAGAUCAAUGAUCUUGACAUGUUCGCUGAUAUGGUAUGCUCAUCAUCAUCAUUCUUUGGAUACUUUCUUAACAUAGACACAUGGAAUACAUUGUGAACUUCAGAGAGCUUUUCAUCAGGCAACUCCAAACGAUAUGCAACUGACCCAACUUUUCCGAUUACUUUGAACGACCGAAUGAAUCUGGGAGAAAGCUUACCUUUCUUACCGAAUCGCAUGACUCUCUUUUUAGGCGAGACUUUCAGAAGAGCAAAAUCGCCCACCUGAAAUUCCACAUGUCUUCGGCGAGGAUCAGCAUAACCCUUUUGCUGACUUUGAGCUGUGCGUAUCCUUUGUUGAAUUAAAGCUACCCUUUCAGUGCUUUCACGUACUAAGUAGCUACCCUUUCAGUGCUUUCACGUACUAAGUCUGGUCCCAAUCCCAUAACAGCAGCGUCACCAGUUUCGGCCCAACAUACUGGGGAUCUACAAGGUCUACCAUAUAACGCUUCAUAUGGUGCCAUCCCAAUCGUCGUCAGGUAACUAUUGUUAUAUGCAAACUCAAUAAAUGGUAGCUGAUCAUCCCAACUACCUUUGAAAUCAAGAGCGCAUGCUCUGAGCAUAUCCUCCACUUACAAACUACAACAAAGCCAUAGUUGUUUGAGGUACUGUUAUCUUUUUCAUUUGCCUUCUUCUUCAGUUUGUGUUAUUCAUAGUCAUAAUUUUUUGUUUGGGUUAUGUGGUUUGAAAAUUUUGUAAAUGGUUUAAGAAAAAGAAGGGAUUUUUUUAUUGAUGAAUGGCUUGCGAAAAAGAUUUAAUUUUUAAUUGAUUAAUGUCCUGUGAAAAAAAAGGAUUUUAGAAAUAUAGGAUUGAGAUUCAAGUUUUCUUUGUUGAUAACCAGUAGCAAAAUAACAGGCAGUUGUGGAGGGUUUUUUUUUCUCCCUUUUUCUUUUUCUUUUCAAGAAAUUGGUAAACAAAAAUCUUGAACAAUAAACUCUGUCACUAGCUCGAGCUCAAACAAUAGAGUAACUUUAGGUUUUCUUGUCGGCUCGCUCGGCGUAUUAUUUCUGUACAAUGAAACUAAUAAGCCAUCUUACAUUCUUAAUAGAGAAUGAUUCUCGUCAUUAUUGUCUAUUAGUUUCUUUUGAGGCCAAAAUUGUGUUUCUACUUAAGAAUUAAAACAGUAGACUACCCAUUUUUGAGAGUAACUGAGCAAGCUGUUAGAUUUUUGAACUUGCUUUAUUCUCCCUGCUGUUUCUAUAUCCCUCUGUUUCUAUAGUUUUUCCUUUCUCCCUUCCCGAACGGCCCCUACAUCUGCAAGAGCACAAGUUACACAGGUUGUUAGUACCAUACAAGUUGUAAGUGACUGCAUUGCCUUUGUGAAAACUGUAAAAAUGACUGCACCACUAGACCCUAGGGGUGAACCCAAAGCCAAUGCGGCAAGAAAAUUUUAAUAAGCUAUUUGUAAGUACAUACUAUCUCUUUAUUUCUUCAUUAACAAAUGAUCUUCAUCAAACAAUUUUGUAAUGUACACAGUUAAUAAGCUAUUUGUAAGUACUAUCUCUUUAUUGUCUAAGUGAAACAACAUUUUUAUUUAAUCGAUGACUACCAACACUACAAGAUUUGGCGUGAUUUGUCAACUGACUGCAGUUCCUUAAUUUCUUCAGGCAUCUACAAAGCAAUGAGUAAUAGGACAGAGGUAACAUGAUCUUUUUUAUUAUGUUUAUAAAUUCAAAAAAUAAUUAUCGAUCUCUAUCUUGACCAAUUUAAAUGUAAUUGUAUAGAGUUCGAAGCAGCGUUCUAAAAUGGCAAAGAAAGAAAAAAAAGCGAUUCAAGCUGCUCUUCUUAACGAUCAGCAGGGAUACAUAUCAAUAAAAAAAAAUCAAGUAGGAGAAAUUUUAAUGAGGCUGAAUAUACUGAUGGAGAUGAUAUCCAUCCACAGCACAAGAGAACUAAUGGGUAUCGAAAUGAUAAGGUAUUGUUCUCAAUGAUUCUUUAGCUAAUAUACAUGUUUCAAAUUUGAUUAUUGGCUAACUAAAUUUGAUAAAAUUUUCAUUAUCACUAGUGUGUUACAUUUUUUUUUUUAUAAUGUCGCAGAGUUCAAAAGGGAAAAAGAAGGUAAAGGGAUCAAGGAAUAAACCAGCUUUUGACAAAUAUGCUAGUGAAAAUGAUUGUAAUGAAGAAAACUCUAUUAGUGGAGAUUCCAGCAGUGAGGAAGAACCUAAUGGUAGAAAUUUCAAUGGAAAAAAUCCUAGAGGUGGAAAUUCUAGUGACAGAGAUUCUAGUGAUGAAGAUACUCGCGAUACAGACUCAAGUGAUGAAGAACGACCUAGAGAUGGAGAUUCCAAUGAUGAUCAGAGUCAGGGGUGAGAAACUACAAAUAGUGCUAAUAUAACAGUUGAAUAUUCAAACAAAUCAAACAAUAUGCAGAAAGUAAAUAACACACAGAAAUUUUUAACGUGGUAAAACCCAAUAUGGGAAACGUCCACGGUUGUCCUCACGACAACAAAUAAAUCCACUAGAGGAAAAGAGAUUUACAAACCUAUCAACUACCUGCAAUCACUGCGAGUUGACACUACCGGUUAUCUCUAACACCUUGACUUCACCAGAGUACCUUGAUGUACGCACAAGACACUCGACUUCUUGAUGAACACACAAGAAGACUCAAAGCCGAACUAUGAAACAAGCUUACACCAGAGUUCCUUGAUGAACACACAAGGAUACUCGACUUCUUGAUGAACACACAAGAAGACUCGAAGCUAAAUCACUAUUCAACAAUAAAGAAGAAGAUGAAUAGGGAAGAAGGAAGAAGAAGAUGAAAGGGGAAGAAGAAGAUGAGUUAAAUCACCAAAACAACCUAAAACAAAACCUAAACAAACUCCAAGAAUAGAUGAAUUGGACGGCCAAAGAACUAAAUUGUUCUUUGGUGGAGAAACCCUAUAUAUAGUUAGGGUUGGAAGACACACAAAAUGGGCCGGAAUUGCAGAAAUCCACUUUGGACAUACGUACGUCGAAACAACGUUCGUACGUCUCCACACUGUAAAAGUUCGCUGCCUGCUUGGACGUACGAACGCCCUAACUAGGUACGUACGUCCUGACCAAAACAUGUUUGCUACCUAACAUGACGUACGUACGCCCUAACUAGGUACGUACGUCCUAAACCCAAAACUUACUUUUGACACAAGGACGCGAGGACACAGACUCGGGACGAUGUGCGUACAACUUGGUUUUCCUAACAAUGAACUCAAGGCGAGAUAACCAUGGACAUCCAAUGUCACAAAAUUGAUGUCAAACAAACUUCGUGCCGGUUUCAAUCUCCCCCUUUGACAUUGAUUUUGUGACAAAAACCUAUGACUCUAAUAGCACUUAUAAAACGUGCUUACAAACCCAAACCAUGGCAUUUAUAAAACAUGCCUACAAAAACACUCAUAGUAGAAUACAUACCGAGUCACUAACACAUGAUAUCCAGCUUGAGUAAUACGCUUUAACCAUCAGAGACCGAACGGAAGCAACAAGAAAUUCUGAAACAAUCAAAGAGCCAACAGACGUUCCUCGAGCAACUCCCUCAUACUUCAUGAGCUCCAAAGUUUGACACUCGAGCUCCCCCAUAACUGUAGCAUACUUGAAACAUGACCCAAAACUGUACAACCUCUAAACAUCAACACGUUCACUCCCCCAUACUUGUAGCAUACCUGCAACAUGACCCAAGAAUACACUAACAAAUGAAGAAACGAAUGUUAGUAUUAGAGUCAUAAAUCUCCCCCAUUUUGUCACAAAUGAAGCAAGGUAACAAAAGAAAGAGAAAAGAAAAAAUACCAAACCACAACAAAUAAGAUUAAAGAAGAAAAGAAAGAGAACAAUCAAGUUAACAACAAAAAGGAUAUGCAACGGAAGCCAUAACAUAAACACUUGUUAACACGAUGUCAAUACAAAGAAUUCUCUCCCUAAACAAAAGCGUCACCUAAAUGCAAUACAUAUGAGAAAGAUGCACCUAGAACAAGCAAACCAAAUAAGGAUAUUUGAAACACACAAAGAACCAAGCAUACAAGGGUAGAAGAGAGUAAAGAGAAAACCAUACCAUAAAUCUGGAAUCCAUGACACACAAAACUAAAAGACAUAAGAGAGAUCUAGGCAUAUUAAUGAAGAAGAAAGAGUACCAACACAGACACAAGAAGGGAGAUUAGAUAAGAACCAAAACGAGAGAAGAAGAAGAUAGUGAAAAGAUAUUGAAUACUUAUAUAGGUCACAAAGGGAAGAAAAGAAAAACAUAACAUGAAUCCCUGAUAGAAACAAAGAGAAUCCUAUACAUAGAAGAAAGAGUCAGGACGCCAUCAAACGGAACAAAUGAUUCACUAGAAUAUCACUUUAAUCAACCGACCAUAACCACCUGAGAUAGACUCCUGAGAGACGACUUCAUAGUAGGAAGAUAUCUAGAGAAAAAGAGCAAACAAACAAAAAGGAAGAAAUACCAUACCCGAUGAAAUCGGCAACGUACAAUAAUGACCAAGAACCAAAAAGUCAAACCUGUGAGAAAUGUGCAAGAAAAGAAUAUGCGAAAAGAGAAAGAAGAAGAGAUAAACAAUAGUUAGUAGGAGAUAUGAAAGAGAAUAGGGAAACCAUGCAUACUAGACACAUCCAACAAUAUCCCAUGACAAAACUACAGGAAUAUGAGUAUCUGCAGGAAGAGAUAUGUAAAGGAUAAGAAAAUCCAUUGAGAAUCCAUGGGGAAAUCCAAUCUGUAAAUGUUCCUGAAACAACUCAACCAACCACAAAAAAAGAAUUAGAGAAUCUUAUAAACAAAGAUAAGAAAAUAUUAUCCCAAACACAAUGGAAUAGAGACAUAAAAGGAAUAAACCUGUAAGCCCACCCUAGUGAAACCCAAAAAUUAGUUCAACAUAUGCCAAACAAGAUAAGCAAUCAUCAAGCUCAUAAAAAAAAUGCUUUAAUCUGAAGAAUGAGCAAGGAUUAUCGAUUUCACCAAGUCACAAAACAACAAUCCAACUUCAGAGCAAAUUUCCUGCCAGAACACUAAGACUCCGAUGACAUGCCAUACAUUGUCAGAAAGAUUAGAGAGUCAAUAGAAGAGAAUUGCUAACAAUAGAUGACCAAACUGAGCAUAUGCAUCCCAAAGUAGAACAGUGGUAGCCCAAAACCAUUGCAGGAGGAUUAUUGCAGAAGACUACCAAGAACACAUCUAAUCAAACCUAUUGCAGGAAAUAAUAGAAUCAACCAGGCACAAGAAGCAACAAUAAGAGAAUAGGCAAGUCUCAUAAGCAUUUAAUCAAACACCAGCUAGCCAACAAGGUAAUUCAAGAAUAUUAUCCCAACAUAGAAAAGUGUGAUGAGAACCUAUGAGAAAACAUGAAUCAGUAUAAAUUGUGACAAACGAAUACACCAAUAACAUGAUUUCAUCACCAAAAUAUGCUUAUGCAUACCUUGUACCCUUCUUAAAACAAAUUGAGAACCAUCACCUUGAGAAAUCACAUCAAACACAUGUGAUCCAAUGACAAAAAUAGAAAGCAUGAAGUUUAAAAACCAAACAAUACAAACAAUCUGACCUUAGUAUGUCAAUGAAACACCGACUGAAAAGAAUUACCAAGGAAUGGAACCAAAAUAGAGUAAGCCAGAAACACUUUCAGCAAGAACAUCUGCCUGUAAAGUUACUGAGAGAAAAAUAAAGUUGACGACACACACAUUGUCCAUGAACUUCUUUGAGCACGAGGAGGACGUGUGCCCGAUGACGAAGCACCCUUGGAACCGGGUGUUUCUUUGGUGGGAGUAGUCCGAGCGCGCUUAGGAGCCAUGUCCGGCAUAAGCACAGCAGUAACCAAACUAAAAAAUGUAAGAGAAAUGGUGAAACUAGCACAAGAAAUGUGAGAAUACCCAUGUAGACAUUUUAUCGAACACACGGUUAGCAUAAUCAUGAAGUGUGCAUACGAUAACAACCAAGCAAUGAAAAUCGCACGAAACUUGUUAGAAGAACCAAACACAAACAAACAAUAGCAAAUAGAGGCUGCACCAUAUCUAAUGAAUCAAUUUUAACGACAAAACUAACAACCCAUAUCCAACCAUGUGAAGGCUAACCUUAAGAACUAACCAAAACAGCCAUACAAUCAACAAGCAACAAGUAUAUAGAGAGAAGUACCAAAAAACAUCUGCCAUGUUCAACGUACAAACUACCAAACAACGUUCGUACGUUCGAGGAGAAAAAAAGUUCUGCCUCCCUUAACGUACGAAUGUCCUAACGACGUACGUACCUUUUUUUUUUUUUUUUUGUUAAAUGUAAUUUAAAUUUAAAAAAAUAACAAUAGAAAACUAACCUUAAUAACAGAAAAACAAACCGAAUAACUAACCACACAAACCGUAAUAAGAAGAUAAAAGGAAAAGAAUCGAGGUACCAUAGAAGUGAAGAGGAAUACAUCAUGAACUUCCAAAAACAGUAGUCAAUCCCAAUCCGUACAAAAAUAAGAGGCAAUAUAUGGGGAUAAACAAAAGAUUGAACAAAUAAGAGAAUUGAAGUGCAUCAUAAACUAAACCUCGGUGUGUAGAUUCAAUGCAAUGCAUAAAGAGAGAGAAAGGUCACCACUAGACCACACCCUUUGAAGACCUAGAAUAUAGAACCAUCAACAAGAGACAUACGAUUAGUAAGUGAGCAUAGAAGAAACAAACUUCAACCCCCUUUGAAACAAACGUUGAGAAUAGAAGGAAAACGAAUAUAAAUAUGAUCUUUCAAAUGAAAACCAAGACAUCCAAAAGGCAAAGGAAUAUAAACUAUGUAUGUCUUACAUAAAAACAAUGAACAUGCGCUUGGAUUUUUUAUUUUGCCGCAUGUGGUGGAGUUUAGUCUACAUCACACUAAUGUCAUUCCCGCGUGGGAGGGAUUUUUGCAUCCAUCUUUUCAAAUACACGAGGGUAGGGUGUAGCCUACAUCUUUUUGACAAACACAAACUCAAGAAGUGCAAUACCAUGAUAACGUGCAACACAAGAACUAACAUCACUUGAGUGCAUCCGUCAGAGCAUGACCCUCACAACCCCAACUGGUUCUUAGCCAACUGAUAUUGCUUCAAAGACAAUCAAAUGGCUGGGGAUAAAGUGAGUCAUUGACCACUAACAAGAGUUGUAAUAGGAAGAUAAGAAUGUUCAAUAACACUAACAACAAGAUGAACAUUAACCAAAACAAAGGAGAGAUAGCUCAAGAUCACAUAAAUACUCGAGAGAUAGAGAAGUUCUAUGAGCUCAAAGAAUAUGUAAGUGGUUUCCAAAAACUCCCAUUAUGCAAGCAUGCCGUGCACUGUGCAAACAAGCGAGGAAAAAUGCAUGAUACAUACCAAAACAUACUUAAGAGUUCAGAAAGAGAAAACACCCAAACAUAUUGCAACUUAUUUAAAACAAUUGAAUUAAACCAAUAUCUCAGAAAAGAUGCAACCAACAACACAUACAUGGAAUAAAUAAAGAAAAAACAAAAAAUAGAAGGAAUAACCAACAACCCCCUUUUUUUUUUUUAUUAUUAACAAUGUAUUCAGACAUGCAGCAUGAUCUGCAAGCUAAACAAACAAAGCAUAAAAAACAGAAGUACCAAACAAAUAGCCUAUGUGGUUAGAGAAAUAUGCAAUUCAAAUAACACAAGGCUAGAAACAAACUACAUCAUCCCAAAUAUGAGACACCACCAGACUUUUGCAAGUCCAGAAAAACCUGCAACUUAUCUUUUCUUACCCAUACUUGUUUAACACUAGGCGUGCACACCUUGGGAGUUGAAAAGAUAUGAGAUCUCCCCUUAACAAGCUUUGCAAUAGACUUGUCCUUAACUAAUUCCACCUUAGUCUUUGACUUCCUUUUGUUGGAGUACCUGUUUUUCUUAAACCUAUGACAAUAAACAUUAGAAUUCCAAGGUCUAGAAAACGCACAAGAGGGAACAUAAGAAUCAACAAGAUUAUAAUUAUAAGGAACAUGAGAAUAACAUUUAACAUGUUGAUUAAAAUCCCAACAAAAGAUAUCCAAAUGACCAUCUCUACCACAAUAAGAACAAUGAAAAACAUUAGACUUACUCAAAGAAUUCUUAUAAGAAGAUGUGGUGGUAGAAGAUGAAACAUGUAUGUCACCAUUGUAUUUGUGACAUGGUGCCUUAACAAAACCUAUACCUCCAUUAUGAGAACAAUAUGGCUUAUCAGUAAAAACAGCCUUACCAUUAACCUUAGACUUAAAAUUCUUACGAGAAACAUGCUGAAAAUUAGUAGCAUUAAGUCUAGUCUCAAUAGGUGGGGUAGGCAAAAGGGCAGACAAACUAGAUUUUACAGGAGUAAUCACACUAGAUGAACUAGUAGAACUAGCAAUAGGAGAAUCAAAUCUAGUUUUGUCCAAAACCUGCAAUUGGAGUUGAGUAGACGUUAAAUCGUUCUUUGUUACCUCAUACUCCACCAAUAGAGAUUUGUAUUUCUCAUCGACCUCCUGAUUGGCCUUCUCUAAAGCUGCAAUUCUACAUAACAAGUCAAGUUUUUCUUUGUCAAAUAAUUGAGAAAUAGAAAUUGCAUCAUCUGCAACACAAGAAAUUUGUUUUUCAAGAAUCUCAAUUUUAUCCUGCAAAGAAAGAUUAGCCUUUUCCAAAUUUUUAAUUUUGGAUUCAUAAACUUCCCCUUGAAGCAUAUAGUCCUCUGCACAAUGUCUGAGUCGUUGUUCUAGAGAAUCAACCUUAGUCUGCAAAACACCAUUAUCUUCAAAACAAACAUUAUCAGAAAUAGUAGAUACAUUACAAUUAGCUUUAUUAAAUUUUUCCUGCAAAUCAAUAUUAGCUUUUUGUAAUCUUUCACAUUCUUUUGCAGAAAGUCUGUAAAGAAGAGCCCAAUCACUAUUGCUAACAACAUACAAAUUAUCAUCCUUUUCAAAAUCAGAUUUUGGUUUUGUAGAUUUAGACGAUUUAGCAAUAAAACUAUUAUAACCAGACUCAUGAACCAUUAUUGCACUCAUAGGAUCUACGCGUGAGCCAUUACGCUCCAUAACAAGCGCCCUGCUCCUGAUACCAAUUGAGAAACUACAAAUAGUGCUAAUAUAACAGUUGAAUAUUCAAACAAAUCAAACAAUAUGCAGAAAGUAAAUAACACACAGAAAUUUUUAACGUGGUAAAACCCAAUAUGGGAAACGUCCACGGUUGUCCUCACGACAACAAAUAAAUCCACUAGAUGAAAAGAGAUUUACAAACCUAUCAACUACCUGCAAUCACUGCGAGUUGACACUACCGGUUAUCUCUAACACCUUGACUUCACCAGAGUACCUUGAUGUACGCACAAGACACUCGACUUCUUGAUGAACACACAAGAAGACUCAAAGCCGAACUAUGAAACAAGCUUACACCAGAGUUCCUUGAUGAACACACAAGGAUACUCGACUUCUUGAUGAACACACAAGAAGACUCGAAGCUAAAUCACUAUUCAACAAUAAAGAAGAAGAUGAAUAGGGAAGAAGGAAGAAGAAGAUGAAAGGGGAAGAAGAAGAUGAGUUCAAUCACCAAAACAACCUAAAACAAAACCUAAACAAACUCCAAGAAUAGAUGAAUUGGACGGCCAAAGAACUAAAUUGUUCUUUGGUGGAGAAACCCUAUAUAUAGUUAGGGUUGGAAGACACACAAAAUGGGCCGGAAUUGCAGAAAUCCACUUUGGACGUACAUACGUCGAAACAACGUUCGUACGUCUCCACAGUGUAAAAGUUCGCUGCCUGCUUGGACGUACGAACGCCCUAACUAGCUACGUACGUCCUAAACCCAAAACUUACUUUUGACACAAGGACGCGAGGACACAGACUCGGGACGAUGUGCGUACAACUUGGUUUUCCUAACAAUGAACUCAAGGCGAGAUAACCAUGGACAUCCAAUGUCACAAAAUUGAUGUCAAACAAACUUCGUGCCGGUUUCAAGGGGUGCUAUGAGGUAUCUAGUGACGAAGAAAGUAGUGACGGAAAGGAUAGUGUCCAAAAGCCAUCUCAAGAGAGUGACGAAGAAAAUCCUUCCACAAAUAAAUCUAACAAAUCCAAACAAAGGAUGGUAAUCAUACUUUUGUUUUGCUACUUUUUAAUAUACUUUAUAAUUUCUACUUGGUAUUUUAUAUUACAAUAAUGUACUUAAACAGGACAAUGGUGAUGAAAUGGAAGACAUGCUUAAUCAACCUGUUGAGAACAUAAAUUCUAUUGGGGGCAAGUCCUACUGAUGGGGGUUUCAACAAUGGAGAGGAUAGUGUCCCUUCGACUAAAGACUCUACUAUGUCUAGGAGACCUAGAGGGCUUACAACUCCUAACCCUAUGUUCGAUAGUAGUUCUAAAAAGAAAAUUGUAUUUAAUUAUAAGGGACAACCUAUAGGAGAAAAUUCAGUUGCAUUAUCCACUGAAAUGGGAAAUAUAGCAAGAGAUAUGGUGCCACUGAAUUUUGAUGAUUGGAGGACAGUCCCAAAUAAGAACUUUUAUUGGUCUACAAUCCAGGUAUUUUAAUGUGUAGUUGCAUUGAAAAUUUGUUGGUUAUUUGAUUAUUGUUUUAACGUUGUUAUUAAUUAAGAUUAAUUGGCUUGUGUAGCAAAAAUUCAUAAUUGAUGAAGAGCUUGGCAGACCUUAUGCUUUUCAACAGAUUGGAAAACUAUGGAGGGCGCGCAAAUCAAGAUUAAGAAGAAAGAUUAGAGCUUGUGAGAACAAGAAGGAAAUUAAGGCUUUGAGGAAAAAAUGUAAUAUCAACAAAGACGACUUGAAGAUAUUUAUAAAAAAAAUGUCAAACAGAGUAUACAAGGUACAAUUUUCCCUACAUGAUUACUGACCUGGACUUGGAUUUUUUCAUGUAUAUGCUAAUAGUACAACUUGUAUGAAGAUGUACAAGUCUGAAAACAAAUUGGUUUUUUUUUUUUGUUAUUUAUAAACAUAUUUUAUAUGUUACAUCAUAUUUUACAUGGAUGUUUUUUUUUUUGUGCAUGUAUGAUAGCUAUUGAUAGCUCUUUUUACUAUAUUGUAGAAAAAAAGCAUGAAAUUUCAGGAGAUGAGGGCAAAUCAAAAUCUCCCUCAUACAUGUGCUCGAAGAGGUUACGCACAUUUGGAGGAUGAUAUGGUAAGUUUUGUGUUUGUUGUUUUGAAAAAAAAAUAUGAAUGUGAUUUUGAAUAUUUUUUUUCUUUUGAUAUUUAUUAUGUAGAAAAAGAAGAGUCCAAAUCCUUCUUCUAUAACUAGGACUGAUGUUUGGGUUCAAGGACACACCAAGAGAAAUGGUGAACCGUCCAAUGCUAAAGUUGCUAAGAAAAUGGUUUUUUUUUUUUUACAACUACAAAUACGUUACAAUUAUAUUAUUAGAAAAUUGCAAUUUUAAAUGACGUCGUUUAAUUUCAGAAAAAAAUUAGGGAGAUCCAAGAGUCAGCCCAUGCAAACUCUUCUCCCCAGAAUAUACAAAAUGACCCUCUUUCACAAGUACUUGGACCUGAUCCUUAUGGUCGCUCAAGAGGUGUAGGAUCUGGAGUGGCUCCAUCUAAACUAGGACUAGUACCACAACACAUGGCGAUGAUCACUCAAUGUCAAGAGCAGAAUGCAUCUAUGAAGGAAACGGUGGACAAUUUAACAAAGAUGGUUCAUAGCCAACAUGACCUAAUUAAUACUUUGGUUGCUAAGCUACAGGCAAGUUAGCUUUAGCCUUUGUAUAUUUGCUAACGUUAUAGGAAUCAAUAUUGAUCUUUUGAGGUAUAUAUAUUGUAUAAUGUUUAAAUGUUUUUAUAGGGUCAAUCCAUUGGGAGUGGACAGUUCACACAAUUGCUUGCUGUUUUUAGUCCAACCUCAAUUAAUCCAAGUCCAACUAAUUUUGAUGCUUCUUCUCCAAUUUCACCAACAAGUUCUACUCCAAAUAUUGGCAACCCAGUUGCUUCAAUUCCACAGGUAAGUAACAUACCAUACAGAAUGUUGUAUGGCCAUUUGUUUUCUUAUCGAUCAUGCUUGCUUUAUCUCUAUAAUUUGUUUUCUUUGUAGGUAUAUGGAAGUAAUGCGAAUAAUUUAAAAUGCAAGUUGAUGAACUGGUUGGAGCCUAAUGAACUAGUUGCUUACGGUCGUUGGGAAACAAGUGAUCCUAAUGUCAAAGUACAUUUUAAAUCGCUUGGAGAGGGUGCUUCUAAAGUUUGGAUAGAUAAGGUUGAAAUGCCAAUACAAUUAUGGAGGCAAACUAAUGAUGAUGGGGUAGAGACUUUAGAUGAUGUUGUGGGCAGUGCAAUUGCGUGGCCUACAAACUACAUUCUCAUUACCGAGGAGGGGAUGACUAAUGGAGGUAUAACUAUCUCACUAUAUUUAAUAAAAAAUAUAAAUAGUAAUGUCGUAGAGAUGUUAUUUGUUCUUUCCUCGGUUGCAUUGUUUUGUACUUUUUUUUCUUAAAUAUAUGAGAUAGUGCUUAUGGACUUUUGGUUUAUAUUGUAGGUGGUAGUUAAAUUAAAAGCUAUCGGAGAUAUGGGACGACAUGGCUUGACAGGUUCUAUAUGGUGGACAACAGUUUGUUUGUUUUUCGUGUGUAUAGGCCAAGAGUGCUAUAUGUCGAUCUCUACUUAAUAUGAUCGGGUAUAUACGGUUUAAAAGUCAUAUUUUGUAAACAAAGGAAAUGUCCUUUGUUCUGGGUGUUGAUGUGAAGGUGCAUAUUAAUAUAUGAUGAUCAGAACUUUGUAAUGGUUUCUUUGGAUGAUUAUUAUAUACUAAUGACAUUUUAAUUUUCUUUUAUCUUGUUGCGUUAUAUGUUUUGAAAGGAAUAUUGAUGUGUCAUAUUGAAUAUGGAAUGAUUGAAAUACCAUUUCAAAAGCCAAACAAAUUGAAUUUCUCAAUUGGUCAAUUCAAAAAAAUAAAUAAUUAAAUAAAUAAAUAAAUAAUAAUAAUAAUAAUAAUAAUAAUAAUAAUAAUAAUAAUAAUAAUAAUAAUAAUAUAAAAAAUAUUUGCACAAUAAAAGAUGGCCUUGUACGAAUGCUAUAGUUAUUGAACAAUAGCAUCUACAAAAUGCUAUCAAAUAAUAACGUUCAUAUAAUAUGCUAUCUAUAUAUGCUAUUAAUUACUACAGCAUCUUACAAGAAACGCUAUCUUCAAAAGAAUAACAUAUAAAUAUAUGUUAUCAAAGACUAUAGCAUUUUACAAAAAACGCUAUCUCAGAAAGAAUAGCAUAUAAAUAUAUGUAAUUAAAGACUAUAGCGUUAUACACAAAACGUUAUCUUAAAAAGAAUAGCAUAUAACUAAAUGCAAUUAUAUUAUAACGUUUGUCCGAAAACGCUAUUAAAAAAAAGGAUAGCAUGGCUAUAGAUAGCGUUUUUUAUAUGCUAUAAAAUACAAUUAACAGCAUUUAUCCAGCGUUAUCUAUGUUGAUUUUUCUAGUAGUGUCACCAUUCUACCAUUCGUUUUACUACAACUUUCUUCAUCACUCAUCACUGUAACUCAAUCAAGUAAGGUUCUUUCUUCUUCACCAAUUUUUCCACUUGGAAGUUAGUUGAAUUGAGGGUGUCCCACAUGUAUAGAAAGGCAAGAAGAAGGUGAUAGUGAAGGUUCCAGUAAACUAAUAUCAACUUGGAUUGGAAAUUUGGAAUCAACUGAGUCUUUCACCGCUAGGCCUGUCAACUAUCCAAACCGAUCCAAUCCAUUAUUUUUCUGUUUUGGAUAUCCAUUUGGAUUAUUCGAUCAUAUGGAAUGGUUUUUGGAUAAUAACAAAGAGAAAACCAAUCCGAUCCAAUAGAACAAAAAAGAAAAUUUCAUUCGAUCUCUCUCUCUUUCCCCAAACUUUACUUUCUCUCUGUUCGUCUUCUCAAUCGAUCUCUCUUUUGUUCUCAAAAAUUAUAAUCGAUUUCCCCAAACUUAAAGAAUUUCGAUCAGGUCAUCAUCAUAUAACCCAAUUUUGGAUUUCUAGGUGGAUUUCUAGAAGAAUUUCGAUCAGGUAAGUUUGUGAUUUUAUUUGAUUGUUGAAUUUGGGUACAAGAAAGUUGACAUAGAGACUUGGGUUUGUGAUUACAGUUGAUUUUUAAUUGACUUGGGUUCUUUUGUUUGAGUUUUUCUUUUUUGGGUUUUCAUUAAAACAAUUUUUUAAUGGUUGCGAAAACUGUUGGGGAUUAAUUUGGUUUGAAAAGGAAAGGUUGAGUUUUUCUCUUUUGGGUUUGUGAUUACAGUGAUUCAUUGUAAGAUGUCGGUUCCUUCGUCGAUGGAUUCUAUCUACAAGGUUAGUAAUUCAUUGAAUAGAAAAAAACUUAGUGCAUCAGAAAACACAUUGAGGUCUAAUGUAUGGUUAGAGUUCAAGAGAAGUGAGGAUAAACAAAGUGCUAUUUGUAAACAUUGUAAAGAAAGCUUUAGGGUCAAUGGAACUUCUAGCUUGCGUAAUCAUUUGAAGAGAUGUUCUAUGAAAAAACAAGAUGAGGGAACUCCUUCGACUAAGAUGAUCAAAUUUUGUCAAGAACGAAGUAGAAAAGAUCUUUCUGAGAUGUUUGUUAAACAUAAUUACCCGUUUUCGAUGGUUGAACAUGAGUAUUUUAGAAAGUUUGUGAACAAUCUUCAACCACAAUUUGAUUUAAAGCAUCGAAAUACAGUUCGAGGUGAUAUUGUGAAAUUAUACAAAGAAGAGAAAAAUGCACUUUAUAGUAGUUUGGGAAAACUUUCAAGUCGGAUUAGUAUGACAACUGAUUUGUGGACAACACACUGUACAAGAGAUUCGUAUAUGUGUUUAACUGUUCAUUAUAUUGAUGAUGAUUGGGUUUUAAGGAAUAAGAUAUUAAAUUAUAUUUUCGAUUAAUGGAUUGUUCUCAUACUGGAAGUGAGUUAGAAAGAAUUCUAAUGAAAUGUUUGCUUGAUUUGAAUGUUGAUGAAAAGGUAUCUACUAUUACUGUUGAUAAUGCUUCAUCGAAUGAUGUGAUGGUUAGUUUGUUAAAGGCCAAUCUCAAUCAAGACAAGUUGUUAGUUUUUAAUAGAAAGUUUUUUCACAUUCGUUGUACAACACAUAUUCUAAACCUCAUUGUCAAAGAUGGAUUGUCAGCCAUGGGGAAUACGUUGAAUCGUAUUCGGGAGAGUUGUAAGUAUGUAAGGUUAACACCUCAAAGGAAGAUGAAGUGGGAAGAAGUUGCUCAGCAAGUGGGUGUAGUCACACUAAAAGAGAUUUGUUUUGAUUGCCCAACAAGAUGGAACUCGACUUAUGAAAUGAUUGCAACUGUAUUGAUUUAUGAAAAGGCUUUCAAGCGUUUACAUUUGCAAGAUGAGGAUUUCAAAACAAUCCCCUCUACAGAGGAAUGGGUCAUUGCAUCGAGAGAUUUGCACAUGUUUGGAAAAAUUUUAUGCGUCGACAAUGAGUCUUUCAGGUAUGCAAUUUAUAUUCCCAUGGUGUAAAUGAUUGAAUUCAUUUUUUUUCUUUUUCUUUCUAAUGUUGUCUUUGGUUUAGUCUGGUAACACACUCAUUUCUAAUGUUGUUUUUGGCUUAGUCUGGAUUUUAUCAUCUCUUAGAAACUUUAUUCUUAACUUUGUUAUAGGUAUGGAUUAUCCAUGUAAAUGUCAGACACAAUUGUUGAUUGUCGUAUCUAGCUAUUAGGUUCACAUGUCAAUUGUCUAAGGUCCACGUCUGAAUUGAUUUGGAUAAUCAUGUCUACUGGUCAUUUGGUCAGUGAACUGUGAACAUGUUCUAUGGAUCUGUUUCUUAAAAAAAAAUUAGUAUUGUUCAAUCUGGUUAAAUAUCUUUGAUAUUUGUUCAUGGAUUUAUUGUUGAAACAUGCUAUCAACCUGAACCUGAAGUUUAAAUAAGGGUUUUGAUCUAUUUUUAUUGAUUCCGCCAAGUGAUGGUUCAUGCCAAUGUUAUUUUUUGUUUGAAGAAAAUGAUAAUGCGCAUGCAAAUGGUCGUUGUUACUGUGUUAGUUCAACUUCAAAUUUAUAUUCCCAUGGUGUAAAUGAUUGAAUUCAUUUAUUUUUUUCUUUCUAAUGUUUCCUUUGGUUUAGUCUGGUGUACUCAUUUCUAAUGUUUCCUUUGGUUUAGUCUAGAUUUUGUCAUCUCUUAGAAACUUUAUUCUUAACUUUGUUAUAGGUAUGGAUUAUCCAACUGCAGACGUAUACUUCUCGAAUGUAUGUGAAAUUCAUAUAGCAUUGUUGGAGUGGAAAAAAGUGCUACUGAAGUUGUGAAAAAAAUGGCUGAUUCCAUGUAUGAGAAGUUCAAAAAGUAGUAGUUGUUUGAUUCUAGCGGUGGCCUUUGUUCUUAACCAUGGUUUUAAGUUGAAGUUUGUUGAGAAUUACUAUAUCAUAUAUGGUGACUAUGAGAGUGCUUUUCAAACUAGGAAAGUUCGAGAAGCAAUGAUUGAAAUAUAUAGUGAGUAUUCCCCACCUACAACAAAUCCUCUUUUCACAUCUCAACCUUCAUCAUCAAGUUCUAGUCAACAACUCUUCGAUGAAAAUUCUCUCAAUUCGAACAAAUCUAUGAGAUUUGAAAGUUGGUACCAGGUUGAAGGAAUCGGUACAACACAAUGCAAAUCUGAGUUGGAUAGUUAUUUGGAUGAGCCCCUUUAUCCGCUCAAAGGUUUAUCUUUAUUGGAUUGGUGGAAAGUAAAUACACCAAAAUAUCCAACACUUUCGAGGAUGGCUCAGGAUAUUUUGUGUAGAGUACUAACUGACUAAGUGACUAGCGUGCUUCGUUAGAUCCUAAAAUGGUGGAAGUGCUUAUCUGUACUCAGAAUUGGUUGCCAUAUUUGUCUGGAGGUAAGAAAUCACUAGUAAUGUCUUAUUAUUUAGGGCUAGUUAUGAUUUGUUUAAUAGGUAAUUUUAUUAUGUUUUAUUGGUAUUGUUGUAGAUGCAUCUGCAUGCUCAAUUCAAGAUAAUAUUGACUCAAUGGCAAAUGAUGAGCUCGAUGAUGUUGAUGAUGAUUUGUGUGCAACAGUAGCAUUCUCUACUUGAUUGGAUAAUGAACAGGUACAAAUCUAGUUUACACAUUGGAAGACAUUUACUUUUUCUAUAAGUUCACAAGUUCCUUUUGCAAAUAGAUUUGUUAGAGAGCAUUCAGCAUUUUGGACCCUCCUAUAUAGCAUCUUCUAUGUUAUUCAGCUUACCUGGAAAUAAACUCUACCUUUCUUCUCUAAUUAAUAUCUAAAUUUUUUAGGUACCAUCUGAAGGAUGUGAUUGUAGGCAAGAUUUAUUUUCUUCUUGUAAGAAUCAAAUCAAACACAUGGAGCUUGAUGGAUGGUGUUCCUGUCAGAGGUAUACAUAUCUAUUCUUAGUUCUCAUAAUGGAUGUGGAUUAUGUUUUUCUUAAAUUGGAUACUUUUUAGCUUGAAGUGGUUACAUUAUUGCUGAAAAUGAUCUGGUAUCAGCUUAGGUCUAGUAUAUAACUCGACUUUUGCGAAAUGUUAAUGGUCAAUAUAUCAGUAGAAAGCACUAGCACUUGUACUAGUAGUCUACUAGUACUACUACUAGUUUUUUAGUAUGGGUACACCACUUGAGAGUGUGGGUGGUUCUGACUUCGGAGAAUUCGUUUAGCUGAUGGAUUCACAAUAGAACAGCUUCUUCAUAUUAGCCUUAUCUUUGAAUAUGUUUUGCAUCUAAGGAUAACUCAUAUUCCCUGCUUGCUUAUGACCUACUUUCACCAUUUUUACAGUAUAUUGUUAGUAGUCUCUAUUCUGAUCCUCCCUGUUCUAUAGAUGAUGGUUAAUUUGUUGUUUGUAUGUUGUUUGAAUGUAUAAUGCAGUCUUACAUUACAUUAUGUUUUUCUUUCCUUCACAUAGACUGUUUCUGAGCACUUAUCAAUUAGAGCAUGAUGGAGGGAAGACAGUGAUACAGCGAAGACAACACGCAAAUUUGUUUUGCGAAACAUGUUGUAUUUGUAGAGUGAUUUGUUUGGGGUUUUCUGUACUCUGUUCAAUCUGAGAUGUAUGAACAAUUUUAGCAAAACUUACAAUGUGAAUCACACAUGUACAGCAGCACUCUGGUUGUUUGAUAGCAAACCUCAUCAUUUUAUGUAUCGGAGUUUGUGUCACCGCAUUUUUAGCAUCAAUAUAUGUUAAAAGUUGGUGAAACUUAUUUAGCAUUUUUAGCAUCAAAUCUGAGUUGGAUACAAUAUAUGUAUCGGAGUUUGUGUCACCGCAUUUGUACCAUCAAUAUAAGAUAAUGAAAUGUUGCAUGGCAUGUAUAACAAUUGUGAACUGUAUACAUAUAUGCAAGGAAGCAAGAGGCAUUGGGCAUUACUGACUACUGAGUAGGAUAGGAUAGGAUGUUUGCAACUUUGCACCAAGGAUGUAAACAUGUUGCAAAAUUGUAUUUAAAAAGAAAAUUUGUUUUUUAUUCAAAAGAAAAACACGAGGGAGCAUGUGCAGCUGCAGCUAAGGUACAAAAAUACGAGGGAGCAUGUGCAGCGAACUAGCAUUGUUUCAUUCCUUUUGCUUUUGACACUUUUGGGUUUCUAGCACCAGAAGCAGUUGAGCUUCUAAGGAGGGUAUAGAAGGUGAUGAAUAGCAACGUGAUGACGGCGGGUUCCAAUGAAUAUGAAUUUUGUAGGAUUGGUUUUGCUAUUCAAAAAGGGCUUGCAGCGCAGUUUUUAGCACGUUUGUCCUCUAGCUUUGUGUAAUUCCUCUUUUAUCAAUAAAAUUUGUUUUUGAGUAAAAAAAAAAAAAACCCCGGAUCGGAUCGGAUCAGAUAUCCAUUAAUUUACAGUGGAUCGGUUCUGAUCAGCUGUACCAAUUAUCCGUUCUGAAUUGGAUCGAAUCGGUUCGGAUCACAAUACAUACAGAUCAGUUCGGCUCAGUGAGAUAUCCAAACCGAACCGAUCCUUUGACAAGCCUAUUCACCGCGUUCCAAAGUCACAAACCACACGUAGUCUUUUAGGUGGUAAACCGGCCAACAUUAGUGCACGCAUCUCUAAAAUAUUGAUAUCUUUAUGUUGAAAUAAAAAUAAAACCAAGAUUUUCUUUAACACGAUGGAUUGGUCCUUUGAACCCAUCAUCAUUUAAUCCAUCUUUCACAAUCAAAUUUAAAACAUGACAACAACAACGGACAUGCGAUAAUCUACCAUUUAAAGGAAGGCCAGGUAAAAUUGUCUUAAAAAAAAUAAAUGCUACAGUAUUAGAACUAGCAUUAUCUAAUGAAUCGAAAUUUUUUUUUCCAAAGAUACCUAGUUUUUGAAGUUUUUCAAUAAUAAAAGUAGCAAUAGCAUCACCAGUAUGUGAAAAAUCUAUAUUACAAAAUGAAACAAUUCGUUUUUGUAAUUUCAAAUAUUUAUCAACAUAAUUAGCAGUAAUUGAACAAUAUCCAAGAUUUUGAUUAGAAGUCCACAAAUCGAAUGUUAAACAUAUUUUUCCAUCAAAAGUAAGUAAAACUUCUUUUAGUUUUGUUUUUUCUUCUUUGAAAACCUUAACUAUAUCACUUCUAACAGUAUGUCGUGAAAAUGCAACAUAUUGAGGACAAAAUAAUUCUUUAAUCAUUGAUGCAAACUCAGGAUCCUCAAUAACAUUAAAGGCAACUCUCUUUUUAUUAUCCAUUUAAUAAGUCUUCUACGAGCAACUGAUUGAUUAUAUGUAAAAGCAACAACAUUUCCACUCCCAUCUUGAGACAAGGUUGGUUGACCUGAGUCUCUCCUACGCUUUUUAGCACAACUUGUAAGAUGGUGAGCAAGAUGGUUUGUGCCAUCUUUUGGCGAAACCCCUAAAGAAGUUUGACAUACAUUACAAACACAUCUAAGCACACGUGCCCCGGUUUUAGGAUGAGGACCAUAAAAUGUGGUCAAACAUCAGAUUUUCUACUCGAUGAUAAUUUUCUAAGACGUGUUUCCUCUUCAGGAGUAUGAUUAUGAAUAUUAGUAGCACUAGUAGCAGAGGAUGAAUUAGUAUCAUUAUUGUUGGGUGGUAUAUAAUCUGAUUCAUAAGUAGGCUCACUAGACUCUCCAAUUCCAGACAUUAUCAAUAAGAUAAUAACAACAAAUUAACAAAUUAAGAGAAAAAAAAGAAGCAAAGAAUCAAUCCAAUUUACCAAUCGUCACAACAAGUUGUUAAAUGCAAGCAACUCAAGACAGAUAGUUAGAAUGCAAAGAACAACUCUGGAAUGAAUGACUUGUUUAUUGAAUGAGAAACAACAGCUAUUAAAUAGUCUUUUACAGAAUGAAAUCUAAAACAAACUACACUCACGUUCCAACUAGAAUCGUGGUAACAAUCUUGACUAAAUCAAAUAUAACAGUCCCUAAAGAAUAGGGCUUAUUGACAAACUAAAUCUUAUCAUUCACUCCUCUGAACUAAACUGCCUAGGCAGACAUCUAGUUUACCUUUGGGCCAUCACAAACUCCCAAUUUCUUUCUAAGCUCCUAAAAUGUUUCUAGCUUGACUGGUUUUGUAAAUAUGUAUGCUAUUUGUUGUUGUGUACCACAAUACUUGAGCUGCACAACUCCUUCAUUCACCAGAUCACGUAAGAAAUGGAAACGCACAUCAAUAUGCUUGCUCUUGCCGUGCAUCACAGGAUUCUUUGACAACUUGAUUGUUGAGCUAUUGUCACAAAAGAUGACAGGACUCUCACUGCCAUUAUAACCAAUCUUCUUUAACACCUUUUUCAUCCACACCAAUUGACAAGUACAUGCUGCAGCCGCAACAAACUCGGUUUCUAUUGUACUUAGUGUAACUAUUGGUUGCUUUCGAGAAGACCAAGCCACUGCUGCUCCACUUAAAAUAAAAACAUACCCCGACGUGCUCUUUCUAUCUUCCACACACCCUGCAUAAUCACUAUCAGUGAAGCCAACCAAUUCCUUAUUUCCUCCUUUCUGGUAAAAAAUACCAAAGCCAAUGGUUCCUUGCAAGUACCGUAAAACUCUCUUGGUUGCUGAAAAAUGUAGAUCAGUUGGCUAUGACAUAUACCUGCUGAUUAGGCUAACUGCAUACAUUAUAUCCGACCUUGUGGCUGUUAAAUAUAUCAUGCUUCCAACCAGCUGCUUGUAGAACGAACCAUUCACCUCUACCCCAUUUUCAUCUUUAGAAAUUUUGAACCCUGGAAUGAUCGGAUUUUGAACAGAAUUACUAUCCUCCAUUCCAAACUUUCUUAACACUUCCAUCACAUAUUUCUUUUGACUAAUGAAUAUCCCUCCAUCAAACUGCACUACUUCAAUGCCAAGAAAAUACCUCAUCUUGCCCAAAUCCGACAUAUCAAAUUCCUUCAUCAUGGAGUCCUUAAACUCAUACAUCAUAACCUCAUCGUCUCCUGUAUAAAUUAAAUCAUCAACAUACAAACUAAUGAUGAAACGUUUACGUUGUUUGUUGACUUUAGUAAACAAAGUUUGUUCACUAUCAUCCUUCUUGAAACCUUCUCUCUUGAAAUACGACUCAAUCCGGUUGAACCAUGCUCUUGGUGCCUGCUUGAGUCCGUACAAACCUUUGUUGAGUUUGUAUACCUUUUGCUCCUCAUUCUGCAUCUCAUAACCUCUCGGCUGCUCAACAUAAACAUCUUCAGUUAAUUCUCCAUGAAGGAAAGCUGAUUUACAUCGAGUUGGAAUACACUCUAACCUCGCUGAGCUGCAAGAGCUAAGAUCAACCGCACUGUGUCCAUUCAAGCUACAGGAGGAUACACUUCUUUGUAAUCAACUCCAUGUUUCUGGGCAUAACCUUUUGCGACUAAGCGGGCCUUGUGCUUCUCCACUUCUCCAAGCUCAUUCAACUUUGUUUUGUAGACCCAUUUGACUCCUAUCCUCUUAGCUCCUUUUGGCAAGUCAGUUAGAAACCACGUCCCAUUCUUCUGAAUUGAUCUCAUUUCUGAAUCCAUAGCCUGCCUCCAUUUUUCAUCUUUUACUACUUCAUCAAAACUGGUCGGGUCGGAACUGGGCAGGUUAGAGCUAGUAAGCAAACCCAAGUGAGCUUGCACGUCUUCAUCGUUAAUGUCAUCACCAGUAAAAUAGUCUCGCAUCCAUACUGGUGCUCUUCUAUUGCGAAUUUCUCUUGCAUUUGAAGUUUCGGGAAUAUCAAGAUUUCCGGAGGUCUCGCUCCCUUCCGCAUCUUCACUCUCUACCUCUUCAUUACUGUGUUCUUCAUCUGCCCAUUCUAAGUCUAGCUUAAUCUGUUAUUCAUGGCUUGCAUCCCAGUUCCACUUCUUAUCUUCUUCAAAAACGACAUCUCUGCUAAUCACAAUUUGCUUCGACACUGGAUCAUACAGUCUAUAUCCCUUUGAUUCUUUGCUCACCCCAAAUAAAACACAGCUGCAACUCUUGUCUUCAAGCUUUGUUCGUCGAGCAUCAGGCACAUGAACAUGUGCUAUACUACCAAAGACUCUCAAGUGUUCUACAGAAGGCUUCACCCCGCUCCAAGCUUCCUCUGGCGUCAAGUCUUUCACUGAUGACGUUGGGCAUCUAUUAAGAAUAUAAAAUAUCCAGUUCACCGCUUCGGCCAGAACGUCUUCGGAACAUUGUUCUCAAUCAAUAAACUUCUCACCAUAUUCAUCACCGUCCUGUUCUUCCGUUCUGCGACACCGUUUUGUUGCGGUGUAUGGACAGUGGUCAAUUGUCUCUUGAUUCCAUUCUUUCUACAAUAAUCGUUGAAUUCACUUGAUGUGAAUUCUCCUCCAUGAUCUGUUCUUAAACAUUUAAUAGACAAACCAGUUUCUUUUUCUACACAACUUUUAAAUAACUUAAAAGAAGCAAAUGCAUCUGAUUUAUAAACAAGAAAAUGUACCCAAGCCUUCCUACUAAAGUCAUCGAUAAAACCAAUAAGGUACCUCUUGUGGCUGUGGGAAGUAGGAGAGAUUGGACCGCAAAUAUCUGCAUGAACUAGCUCCAACUUUGCUGAUGCUUUCCAUGUGCUUCUCGUCAGAAUAACGUCUCGGUGUUGCUACCCCUCCUUUGGUUCCUUCUUGAUUGGUUGUGUGUUUGAUAGCAAUACAAACAUUCUGUUGGCCGUCAUGUUGGUUUGAAUGAUCAAACCCUUUUUGGGAUGGUAGAUUCGGCACUGAUUGGACCGCAUUAGAAUGGCUAGUCCCUUUUCUUGCAGUUGUCCAACACUGAGAAGGUGACUCUUCAAUUCCGACACAUAAAAUACAUCUUUUACAAGAUAACUGACACCUUCCAAAGAUAAUCGCACACUUCCUUUGCCAACAACGUUCAUCCUCGUAUGAUUGCCCAAUCUGACCACUUUUUUGAAUCCUUCUUCUAAGUCACAGAAAGGAGAUGGAUCACCACACAUAUGGUUGCUGCAACCUGAAUCAAUGAACCACACAUCAUCUUGGUUCACUCCAUGUAACUCGACAUAGGCCAUAAGUACUCUCUCCUCUGACUCAUCCAAUUUUGCACAAUUUGCUUUUUUUCCUGAACUUGGACAUUCGUAUUGGAAGUGUCCGAGUUGAUGACAUUGGUAGCACUCAACAGUGGCCUUAUUGUAGUUAUGGAGACCCCUGCUUCUACCUCUUCCUCCUCUGAAAGUAGCUCUCCCACGUCCUCGUCCACCAUAACCUUCAUCAUGUGACACCUUGAGUGCGUGUUCCUCGUCUCCAUCCUUUUUGAACUUCUGCUCAUGAACAACUCUGCAAGGCAUCGACAGAUAGCCGAUCGAUAUCCUUUGCUUCUUCUAUGGAACAAAUAAUGUAAUUCCAUUUUUUGGUGAGAGUUCUCAAAAUUUUCUCAACUAUCUUGACAUCAGUCAUGUCUUCCCCACAAUUCCUCAUGUCGUUUGCAACCACCAUCACUCGACCAAAGUAGUCAGUGAUCGAUUCACCUUGCUUUAUUGCCAGAACCUCACAAUUCCUGCGAAGACAGUUGAGUUGAGCCCUUUGUACGCGAGCAUUUCCCUGACAUUUCAUCUUCAUGGAAUCCCAAAGUUGUUUGGAUGUCUCUUUUUGUGUGAUUGUCUUUAGAAUUGACUUGUCAAGGGAUUGAAACAAGUAAUUCUUGGCUUUGAGAUCUUUCAGCUUCAUCUCCUCUAGAGUUUUUCUCUGUGCAGCAGUCAGCACCUCUUCAUCACCAUGUUGUGAAUAACCGGAUUCCACAACAAUCCAAUAUUCCUUCGAACGGAGGAGAUUCUCCAUGACCAUGCUCCAGUGAUCAUAAUCACCAUCAAACUUCGGAAUAGAAGGUUAAGCAAAGCUAUUGUUUGUUUCUGACCCCAUCUCUUGCACACUCCCUUGUUGUCUCUCUAACUCACUCUUUCAAUCUCUCAAGUCAGGCUCUGAUGCCAGAAUGUUAAAUGCAAGCAAUUCAAGACAGAUAGCUAGAAUGCAAAGAACAACUCUGGAAUGAAUGACUUGUUUAUUGAAUGAGAAGCAACAGCUAUUAAAUAGCCUUUUACAGAAUGAAAUCUAAAACAAACUACACUCACGUUCGAACUAGAAUCGUAGUAACAAUCUUGACUAAAUCAAAUAUAACAGUCCCUAAAGAAUAGGACUUAUUAACAAACUAAAUCUUAUCACAAGUAAGCAACAGCUUCAAGGUUCAACCCUUCUAUUGGAGUCUGGUUACAAAAGUAACAAAACAAUAAUUAUCAAUCCUUGAAAUAUCAAAUCAAUUAAUUAGAAUGAAUUGAAAUUCGAAAUACUCACAUAUCAAUUAAUUGGAAUAUGUUGAUUUGAUAUAUAUGAUUAUUGACAAUGAUUCGAGGUGAUUCAAGACUAUAGUUGUACAAAUCUGAUUGUUGAUAUAUAUGAUUGUCGACAUUGAUGAUUCAAGAUUACCCUAAUUCCAUCUUUGAUGAUUGUUGAUGAUGGUGAGUGGUGGAGUGGUGGUGCUACAUUGGUGGUGUUGAGUCAGUUGAAUAAAAAGAAAAAGAAGACGAGAGGAAGAUGAAGUGUGAUUGUGAGAAGAAGAUGAAGUGUUAAUUUAUACCAUUGUGUGUGUUGAGAGAGGUAGAGAGAGUUGUUGUGAGUUAAAGAGAAAGUGAGAAACAUAGAAAGAUUGGGGAUUUAGGUUAGGCUAAACCAGACGGGGAUACGGAGCGGGGAACGGGGGCAGGGUUUUAAUCUAGAGUAUAAAACCCAUCCCUGUCCUAGUACUAAUUGGGGCGGAGCAACACAUUGCAGCAGGGCGGGGAGUAGGGCUGCAAUCUGAGCCGAGCGGCUCGGGCUCGGCUCGCUCAUUUAUCUAAACGAGCCGAGUUCGAGCCGGUUUUUGAGCUCGUCAUGAGCCCGAGCCGAGCUCGAGCUCUAAACUAGCCGAGCCGAGCAGCUCAUUAACUUUCUAGCUUCUCCAGCAAAAACAAUUGGGGGAAAAGCUUCAAGAGUUUGAAGAACAGUUUCAAGAUCUUGUUGGUUUGGGUAUUCUGGAAGUUGAAGAGCUUUCUUUGUUCUCCAACUAUCAAUUGACCAUUUUCCAGGUGUAGUAGUAGUUGUUGUUGUUGGAACAGGAGUUGCUGAUGAUUUGGUAUUCGUUGAUUUGGCUGGUUCAGCUGCAUGAAUGGCUGAGAUUGGUUUGAUAAUGGAUCUAGAAUAAUUGGUAGGAAGGAGAGAGAAUGAAGAAUGGUUGUUGGGUUUGGUUGAAGAAGAAGAAGAAGAUGGAAGAAGAGUUUUCGAUUGAAGAAGAGAUUUAGUUGAAACAACAGAACUACUUGUUAAAGCCAUUGUUGUUUCUUUCUUUCCUUCUUCUUCUCUGUUUCUCACACUUUCUUCUUUCUUUCUUUCUUUCUUUCAAUAACACUUCAAAUGGAGAAAGAGAAGGAAAGGCAGAGAGAGAGAAAGAGAGAGAGUUUGGUAAGAAUGAAGAAGAAGGUGAGCAGAGAUCGUAAUAAGAGAGGACACUUGAUCGACCUUGUUAUAUAGAUUUCAUUAGUCAACCUAACCAAACGAGCUCUAAACGAGCCAAACGAGCCAGCGAGACAAACGAGCCAGCGAGCCGAAACGAGCCGAGCUCGACCAAUAGCUAUAUAGUUCGGUUCGGUUUCGGUUCGGUCUUGACCGGUUUUUAGUCAACUCGGUUUUGACCGGUUUUAACUCGGUUAGUAACGAGCCGAGUUCGAGCAUACCUUAGCUCGGCUCGAGCGGCUCGAAUUGCACCCCUAGCGGGGAGAUGAAAAAUGGGGCGGGGACCGGAUUGGGGUCGGGUCACGGGGCAGGUUCAGCACCCCUAAUUCGUUCUACUACAACUUUCAUCAUCACUCAUCACUGUGACUCAAUCAAGUAAGGUUAUUUCUUCUUCACCAAUUUUCCCAUUUGGAAGUUAGUUGAAUUGAGGGUGUCCCACACGUAUAGGAAGGCAAGAAGAAGGUGAUAGUGAAGCUUCCAGUAAACUAACAUCAACUUGAAUUGGAAUCAACGCGGUGUCCUUCACCGCGUUCCAAAGUCCCAAACCAUUUGUAUAAAUACAGAAGAAGAGAGUGAGAGAGUCUAUGAAUUGGGUGUGCUUAAGUCUCUGAUCGACUACAAGUCUUCCCACUUCAUUUACAUACAGGUAUGUAAUCUCAAAAUCUUCAUCUCUUGUUUGAGUUUUUUAGUCAACUUCUCAUUUAUGAAUUGGGUCCAUAACAACAACAAAUCAUUUAACAUGAGUGUAUACUAUAUACUAUAUAAUUUUUGAUUUUUUUUUUUUUGUUCUAUAUUUUAUUUUAAAAGAAAAGGGUGUUCUAUUAAUCUAUCUUAUUUUUUGCUGGUUAUCACAGACUUGGUUGAGUCGUCCUAUACUAUUUGAACGUCAACUUGGUGUGGCUGCUACUUCUAGUUGUAUUCUGUCAGCUCCUAUCAUGGGCGACAUUAACAAUGCUGCUAAUCUUGAGCAAAAUUUCACAAUGUUGUCGGUUAAGAUGGUUGAUCUGGUUAAUCUGAAGGACAGAGUGAAAAGAAGAAACGAACUAUAUCCAGAGGACAUGGAUGGGUGGGUGCAUAAUGCAGAGGACAGAGAACGUGAAGUGGCGGAAAUAAGAAGUAAGUUAGAUGAACUACAAUUACAUAGUUUUCAAUAUAUUAGAAAUGUGAAUUACAGAUCCAAACUUAACCAAAGAGUGAUUGAAAAUCUAAAUGCUGUGAACAAUUUAAUAGCAGUGGGUAAUUCCAGUCCAGCAUCAAUUCGCGCAUUUUUAAGUGAAAUGGCAAUUGGUCAACCUAGGGAAUUUUCUCGAGCGGAGAUUAUGAUCAUUACAUCACAUUUAUCUGAAUCCAAUAUAAUACGCUCUGAUUUGUUUGGAAAUGUCUAUAAUGGUAAGUUUCGCAAUGGUAAGCAAGUAAGUGUUAAGGUACUAAGGGAUAAGGAUGUGAGUCAAGGGAUAUUCAAAUCUGAGGUGAGAUCAUUGAGCAAUGCUUCCCAUCGGAACUUACUAAAACUUUAUGGGUAUUGCUUUGAACACAACACCAUAGCACUUGUUUAUGAAUAUAUGGAAAAUGGGACAUUUGAUAAAAUAUUGUAUCAAAAUCCCCUUAGUAUAGAGUGGGAUAAGUUUUAUGGUAUUGCAAUUAAGACAGCAAAGGCAAUCGCAUAUUUGCAUGAUGGUUGUGAUGACCAAAUCAUUCACCAUAACAUAAACGCUGCUAAUGUGCUUCUUGGCGAAUACUUUUCUCCGAAGGUUGCAGAGUUUGGAUUGGCAAAGCUCAUCAAAGAAGGUAGGACUCAUUUAACCUUGACCAAUCCCAGAGGAACUCCUGGUUAUGCUGCCCCGGAGAUGUGGAUACCAUCAUCACGAAUAACUUGUUCAUCUGAUGUUUACAGCUUUGGUAUGAUGUUGUUUGAAAUUCUUGGGAUGAGAGAAAACUUCAAGAAAGGUCAAGUUUGGUUUCCACAACAUGUUUGGAACAAGUUUAAAAGCGAUCAACUAGACGAUCUUUUAGUGGAGUGUGGUAUAUAUGAAAAGGACAAAAUAGAAGCAAAGACAUCAGCUCUGGUUGCAUUAUGGUGUGCUCAAUUUAAACCUCAACUAAGACCUUCCAUGAGCACUGUGGUGAAGAUGCUUGAGUUGGAAAUUCCAGUUAAGAAUCAAAUUCCCAAUCCAUUUAAGCGUUUCCGAUCACCUCAAACCAGUCUUCACGGCAGAUGAAGAGUAUUGGAGGGGUAUUGGUGGAAAUAUGAUUUGUGGUUGAUCACUUGUGAUUUAAACAGUAGUAGAAUCUUAUUUUGAAGUUCAAAGACCAUGGGGAUACAACAUUACCCAAUUCAUUCUGUAAUUUUUGCAGAUUGGAUUAAACAGAUUUGGUUCAUUCCUGUUGUUGUUUUUAUUUGUUGUAUACAUUUAAGUUGAAAGUGAGGUCCCCUCAUUGCCUCACUCAUUUUAAGCUGGCUUUGUAAAAAUAUGCUUAUAAGAAAAAGGUUGAAACUUUCAACUGCAGCUAAGUUUUGUUCUCCUAUAUGCUGAAUUUUAGACUCAUUCAUUUCCAAAACCAGACUAUCACCCACCCAAUAGAUUAAUUAGUGGUUCAUACACCCUGCAAAGUGGUUUAUUGACAAAGACUUUUCUCGACAAAGACUUCUUAUUUUGUUAAAAAUAAAAUUUUGCAGCCCUCAAUUAUUGGUGAGAUCUCUGAUUCAGUUGUGACACAAUCCCACAAUGCCAAAGGCAAUACAGUUAGUUCAUGAACAGUACCAGAUUCCUUCUCCGAAAGAGGGGGUGGGGUUUGGCAGACCCCUACCUGUUAAUUAAAAUAUAGCAAUGAAAAUCUUUUGAGGAGGACAUUGGGCCUUACCUCUUACAAAAUUAAACAUCAGGAGUUGCCUAGGCCUAAACAAAACAUUACAACUAAAAUUGAAAGCAAUAGAAAGUCAGCUCCUAGAAAAUGCGCCAAAAGCUGAAGAGCUUUGAAUAGGUGGUUGGGGAUGUCAAAAUAUAACACCUUGCUCCCAUCUCCCCACUACCUAUUCCUGCAGACAUCUGUAGACCAUGUCUUCCUCCUUCAUUGCUUCUUCUGAUUCCACUACAAGUGUGAAUAUUGCUCUGGUUGAGGAUCAAGUCUAUGAGGCAGUUAGGCGAUCUCUGUGUCCUUUCCACUUUGAGGGUUUUGAGGACUUCCAAGCUGGGGUAAGUGAGUUGGCUGAGGAUGUUGGUGGAGUUGUCGCUGAGAUAAGAGAUUUCAUGUUUUCUGUAUCCCUCAACCUCCUGCCAAGGUUGGGAUUGAGAACUGGAAUCGGCUUGAGGAAUGGUUGGGAACGGAAACUGGGGAGUGGGUUAGAGCUCUUUGUAGGCCAUGGUGCUAUUAUGUUAGGUAUGGGAUUGAAACUUGUCAUUCUUGCAGAGAAGCAUCUACUGUUCCUGGGUUUGGGUAUGUUGAGGCUGAGAAUAGAGAUGAUGUUGCUGAAGAGGCUGACCAAGAGGAGGCUAAUGUUCAGGGAAAUGCUGGAGCUGGAGAGGUUGAAGAUCCUGGUCCUUCUGAUAAUGAUAGUGGUGAGGAGAGGAAGGCCAAGAAACCAAGAGUCUGAAGUUAUGCUAAUCUGAGUAUUCUGUAAUCUGUUUGUUUGAUGUAUUCUCCUUUCGAUGUAGUAAACUCUCAAUCUCCUCCAAGGAAUUGAGCUAUAGUUUUGCAAAUCUGAAUUGAGGAAUAUUGUUCUUAUCUCCAUUUAGAAUUUGUAGAAAUUCUGCAUCUUGAUGUCUAUUCACUGCUCCAUCACAUUGUAGUUUAAUUCCCAUCUUAGACAUAUAAUCUGCUGCAGAAUUUCCUUCCCUGUAUACAUAUAUGGUUACAUAUAAUCUCCAUUCCUUUUGCAAUUGUGUGAAUUUGUUUCCACCAUUUAACAAGUGACCAUGGAAUGCUUGCCUGCUUGUGGAACCAUAGGAUUGUAAGACUUGAAUCAGCUUGUAGGUGUACUCUAUUGUGUCCCAGCCAUAAGCAUAGCUUCAGACCAUCUAAUAUGGCUCUUGUUUCUGUCAGGUUAUUGGUUCCCUGUCCAUAGAAAGAGAAAAAAUUUGCCACAUGUACCCUCCUGGGUUCUAAUAACUCGCCCACCAAAAGCUACUCCAUCCUGACAAGCCCUAUCUGUGUUCAGUCCAAUGAAGCCAUCCUGAGGUCUACUCCAUAGGACUAGGGUUGGUAUUGAGAGUGGAAGAUUUUUGGGGCUUAUCUUUAGAACUUGAGCAGCUUCCUCAAACUUCUGACAAGAUCUUUUGUUUGGGACAUAGUGCUCACACAACCUUGCAAGCCAGAACUUGAUUUUCAAAAUAAUCUGCUUGCUUGCAUGUUGUGAGUGUUUAUAUCCAUCUUCAUACCUCCUACUGCAUCUCUCCUUCCAUAUUUCCCAUAGAAUAAAAAGAGGAGUUAGGGUACAGCAAAGGAACUCCAUGGAACCAGACUUACUCUUUUUAAACCAGCUUCCAAGUAGUGCACCAAAAUUGUAGAACCUUAGAAGCUUGAUGUCAAACAGACCGUGGAAAAAGUUCCAAACUGGUCUGGCCAGUUCGCUCCUUAAGAACAGAUGUGAAGAAGAUUCCAUUGUAUGAGUCGCACAACAGCUGCAUCUAGAUACCAUGUGAAUAUAACAUUUCAUAACACCUACAUCUGUUGGAAUGGCACCAUUUAGCAACUUCCAUAUAAAGAAAGAGAUUUUUGUUGGCACAAAGUGGUGCCAAAUUCUCUUCAUGACCGGAAAGACAGGCUUUGAUUGAUGGCACAAAUGCACAUAAGAUCUGAUAGAGAACUCUCCAGAAGAGGUGAAAGGCCAGAUUCUUCUAUCCCUUUGUAUAUCUUGAUGGAGAGUGCGAUAUGCAUCUCUUAAAACCACCCUUUGUUCUUGAGUGAAUAUAGGGAUGUUAAAAUCUGCAUCUUUUGCCUCUUGUAGAGAAAGUCCUGCAAAAAUCCCUGGCUCAAUAGCUGGCACAAUGCAUCCUUCUUCCAUCCAGUUUUCACCUAGCACAUUGAACUGGAUCAAUUUUAUGCUUUUGAGUGAUCUGUGCUUUAUGUACUUGUCUCUCAUGAACUUGGCCCAAAGAGUGUUUGAGUUGACCAAGUUCCAUGUGGAUUUCAUUCGAUAUGCUUUCAGGACCUGCUUCAAUGGCCUGAUUCCCAGGCCUCCUUCCUCAAUUGGGCAAGUUAUCUUAGACCAAGACACCCAUUUCCUUUUCCCUUUGAAAUCAGAGCUCCUCCACAGGAAAUUAGAAAAAAAGUGAUUCAAGUAUCCUGAUCACUAUUUUGGGUACAGAAAAAGCCGAGAAGAGAUAGAUGGGCAUACUCUGAAGGACAUGCUUGAGCAGAAUUAAUCUUCCUCCAUGUGACAACAUUUUCUUCCUCCAUCCAUCCAUCGUAUUUCUUACUUUUGUAAUAAGUCCUUCAAACUAUUUUGUCUUGGCUUUUUCUUGAAAAAUAGGAACUCCUAGGUAUAUCAUUGGAGAUUCUUUAUUUCUGAAGCCUGUGGAAUGUUGCACCAUAAGGAUUCUAUCCAUAGGGGUCUUUGUUUCCCUCACAAAUGUACUCUUUGAGGCAUUUAUUUUCUUUCCAGAACAUCUGCUGUAGCGUUCUAGAAAACUCAUGCACCCCUCUAUCGAACUUUUCCUGCCAUUUAAAAACACGAGAGUAUCAUCAGCAUAUAAGAGAUGAGUAAUAGGGUCACAACUUCUAGGAGUAGUGUAAGUGCAUAUCUUUUCUACUUGAAACUCCUGGAUUAACUCUCUACUCAAGACUUCUAAAGCUAGGAUAAAAAGGAAUGGUGACAAAGGGUCACCCUGCCUGAUCCCUCUGGACGAUUUGAAACUGCCUUUAUAGCUCCCCUAAAACAAGAUAGAAAAUGUGCACUGCUCUAUACAGGAGGAGAUCACCUGAAUCCAGUUGGCAGAAAAUCCAAAGUUAGCUAACACAGAUUUGAGAUAUUGCCAUUCUAUUCGACCAAAAGCUUUCUCCAUGUCUAAUUUCAUUACCAAAUUUCCACCUUGAACUUUCCUGCCAAUGUUUUGCAUCAUUUCCUGGGCUAGACCUACAUUCUCAGUAAUCAGUCUACCUUUGACAUAGGCGCCCUGCUGGGGAGAGAUAAGCUUAGGUAAAAUGCUUGUAAGCCUAGAUGUGAGAAUUUUGGAGACUAUCUUGUAACUGACAUUACACAAGCUGAUAGGUCUGAACUCUGCCAAGGUUGUUGGAGUGUCCUUUUUUGGAAUUAAACAAAUGAAAUUGGCCAAAAAGGAUGUUGGAAGACUGGCGCCUUGGAAAAAUGCUUGUAUAGCAGCUACAGUAUCCUUCUUAACUAUCUCCCAGCAUUUCUGGUAAAAAAGGGAGGUCAAGCCAUCAAGACCUGGUGCACGAUCUGGUGCAAUUCCAAAGACAGCCUCUUUUAUUUCCUCCUCAGAUGGUAUAUCAUUAAGCAUAAGAUUAUCCUCCUCUGACAUUAAAGGCUUGAUCACUCCCAUAAUAUUCUCAUCCCUUUGCCACCCCUGUGAUGAAAGUUGAGCAUCAAAAAAUUCAACUGCUUUGGUGUGAAUCUCUUCUAGGUCACUGCACCAUUGGUCUGGCUCUUCUGUGAGUAAAAGUUUAUCCACCACAACUUUCCUUCUUGCAACAACAGAGGUAUGAAAGUACGUUGUAUUUUUUUUCCACCUCCAUCAACCAUUUUUCUCCAGACUUUUCCUUCCAAAACUGUUCUUCUUGGAUCAAAGCUUGUUGAUAUAGUGCUUGUUGUUUCUUCAGCUCUAUCCAUACCUCCAUAUCCCAGGAAGCUAUCAGAGAUUGAUCUAGUUCCACUAUCCUGUCCUCUGGUGCCUUGAUCUAUUGCUGAAUAUUACCAAACACAUGCUUGUUCCACCAUUUUAGCCUAGAUUGAAUGUUCCUGAUCUUUACCUCAAACAUGUGUAUGGGGAGUGGAGAAUACCCAGCUGAAUCCCAGUUGUCUUGGAUGAAUUGCAUGAAGCCUUCAUGAGAGAUCCACAUUUUUUUAAAUCGAAAUGGGUGUUGCUCAUUCCCAUGCUUCUUGUUUUUACCCCUAACAAUCAAUGGCAAGUGAUCAGAGUUGACCCUUGGCUCAUGCAGCACCUCAAUGGGUGGAAACUCAUUUGCCCAGAUUGUGAUUGUAAAAACUCUAUCUAGUCUAGCCCAACGUCUUCUUGUGCCCUGCUGAUUGUUACACCAAGUAUACUUUGAUCCAAUGUAUCCACAAUCCAUAAGACCACAAUUAAGAACAAAGUUAUUGAAGUCUUCUAUCGAGUUGAGAGAAGCUUGUUCCCCUCCAAGUCUUUCAUCCAAGGACAAAACUUUGUUAAAAUCUCCUCCUAUAAUCCAUGGAGUUGUUGCAGAAGCCCCAAAGUUGAAAAGGUUCUGCCAUAAGAGCCUCCUCUCUACAUUUGGACACUUAGCGUAUACAAAAGAUGCUAGAAAGGAUUUUUGGGAAGUGGUAUGAGUGAUGUGUAGGUUACAAGCUUGGCUGCAUUCACUAAUCUUCUGAACAACAAGUUGAUCAUUCCAAAAAAUCCAUACUUUGCCUUGACUAAGGUCAUUGGACGUGUGAUCUUGUAAACCCAUCGAAUUAGCCACCCUACUUAAUUUCCUGAUAUUGAUCAUAGGCUCCAGUAUAACGAACAUAUAUAAGGGGAAUGCUCUCUGAUAAUUUUCUUAACCCUUCUCAUAGUUGGCUUAUUCCCCACUCCUCUUGCAUUCCAUAUAGUUAUGGCUUGCAACAUUUAAAACUAUGGGGCUUUGAGGAUUGGGGGGGUUGGCUUUUUGACCUUGUCAUCAUGCCUGAACUUUUGGGAGGUAGGAGAGCCCUACCCCUUCUUCUAUUAUCCACUUAUGCAUCUGAUCAUAUAAUUUCCAAUUCUUGACUCUCAAAAUCUUGAUCAAGGUCUUGAGUUUCCAAGGCUUGGAGCUGGUGAAGAUCAUAUCCAGUUUCUUGAGCGAAAGGGAUGAUUUCUGUAUGUUGCAAUGUUAUAGGAGGCUCCAUCCCAGUGCUCUCAGUCCUCUCACAUGAUGAUGGUGGGGCAAUGAUAAUAGCCAGGGGGUUGAGGUCUUUCCUAGAGUUGUCAUCUUGCACCGCUGGUGGAGUGCCAGGGAAUUGAUUUUGCAAAUUGACCCCUUCAAUCUCUGGAUUUGCUUGGGAGGUAGCUUGGGAGGUAGUACCCGCUUGCCCGUUUGGUGCUUCUUCUUCCUCUAGAUUCGCUAACAACCCAAAGGCGUUUUGAGGGGUUAUAUUGGUCUUAUCGGCUGACAAAGUUGCCAGAUUAUCUGAGGUUUCUGGAGUCACUUCCUCCAAUGGUUGAAUUACCUUUUCUUUACCUUUGUCAGCUGGAAGCAUAUCGAGAUCCACUUCCUCUCCAGGGACGUCCUUAGUUCCACUAGUUCCAGCUUGUAAGUUGGUACUUCUGAUGACAAGCCUGUAGUAUUGUUUCUUUCUCUGUUGUAGCCAGAUAGGGUUUCCAUUUUUGGGAACAGCUAUGUUUGAACCAGAGUGUACUUCUUUAGCUUUUCCUUUCUCCAUGGUUUUCUGUUUUCUUCUACUGCAGUUUUCCAGUGCAUGCCCAAUUUUGCAACAAUGUGAGCAGUAUAAGAAGUUAGGGUAAUGAAGGUAUUGCCAGAAUCCAGCAAAGUUAGCCCCUUCUAUCCAUAUAGACUCUGGCAUAUCCUCUUGCACAUUCAUCUCUACACAGAUUCUAGCCGCACCAGGUUUGGUUCUAAGAAUAGUAUCCUUAGCAAUAGACAAGAAUUUUCCUAUGUUAUCUCCAAUGGCUUUGAGGGUUGUUGGAUGGAAAAAAUCCAAGGGUUGCACAUUCAUCUCUACACAGAUUCUAGCCGCACCAGGUUUGGUUCUAAGAAUAGUAUCCUUAGCAAUAGACAAGAAUUUUCCUAUGUUAUCUCCAAUGGCUUUGAGGGUUGUUGGAUGGAAAAAAUCCAAGGGGAGUCCAGGAAGAUCCACCCAUACAGGAGCCAAGGCAAGCACAUGCCUGGGAUCACGCAGUCCCAUGGUAAAACCCCCAACCACAUUCCAUUCCCUGGUGAUGCAUCCUUGAGAGAAAGCUUUUGUAACUUCUUCUUCUAAAUAAUGAGGAGAUAAGAUUCUGUCCACGUUCUAUAGCUUCUCGACUGAAAGAGAUAGCCAGUUUUCCGUCCUUUUUGAAGGUACGAUGGUUCGCAGGUGUCAGAUCAAGAGGUUUAGGUAUUAUCUGCUUAAAAAGAGACUCAAAAGAAGGAUUAGUAGAUGAACCAAACAAGGCUCCUUCGUUCCCUGCUUGUUCCGAGGUGAUAGCCAUGACAAAGAAGACUCGAAACCCUUAAAAUAACAGAGAACGCAAAAAUCGCCCAAAGUUUUCAUCCAUUAUUAGGGUUUUAAGGUUUUCUCAUAGAUUCCUUCUAUUUGUGUUCCCCCUGCAGCAAAUUGCCUCAAACUCAAUGUGGACAUCACUUUCACAACUCCAACUUAUAAAUAUGGUAUUAGAUAUGUUGUUAGAGACUCAGCAAGUCAGUUUGUCAUGGCAGGAAUAGGGACAACUUAUGUUGGAUCGACAGGUGCAGCAGAUGUGUAAGCGGUCUUUCUGCCUAGAUCUUGAGAUCAGUGAGGCCAAUGAAGAAUGGUUUAACUCCUUCGUCAUCAUCUCUGUUACCUGUAAAAUAUUCCGGGGUUGUUCCCGACGUUAGCACUCCAACGCUCAAGUCAGAUAGUGUAGAUGAAGAGAAGAAGAAAGAGAAAAUGUGUUGAGUGAAGUGAUGGAUCAUACCUUGUGUUUAGGGUUUUGCCCCUUAUAUACUAUUCAUACCGUGUAUGUAAUGUAGGCUGUGAGAUCUUAGAAGAUCUGACAGUUGUGAUGUAGAGACGUGGAAUUCUGCCUUCCAAGUAUUCUCUGUCAUGACUCAUCUCACGUGAUUGCCACGUGAGCCGUACAGUCUGUUUUGUCUGAGUGAACCUACAUCGCAAGCUAUUUUACUAGGUUGAUUCGUUAGAACCGAGUAACUCGUGGAAUCUGGUAUAAUUAUGUACUUACAUCGCCCACUUCUCUGGGCUGACGGAUUUCUCGUCUGCCAAGAGAAAUAUAGCCACAUGGAAUUAUAAAAAAUUCCAUAGAGCUCAGUGUUCGCGGAGCUCCCAGAGUUGCAAAAUAAAAUAGUGUCGAACGUUAAAGAACUGUCGUACCUGACAGACUUCCUGGUUGAGUUCAAGUCGAGAUCUCGGUCCUACUGGAAUACUGUGCGAGAAUUUUUCAUAAACAUACAAUAUAUAAUAAUGACUUAUAAAUUAAGCUUCAAUGUUACCUCUAGAGAAACUAUACAGUUCUCCUUGUAUUAGUGUAUUAGUCUGUUUUCACGGGCAUGGUGAAAAAAAUAAUAAACUGCCUGCGCUAGCAAAGUAGCUGCGUACGUACCCAAAUAGGGAUCAAGCCACCGUAGUUCUGUUUGUCAGGCGUGUCUGCCUUAGUUUGCUGAUAGCUAGUUUUUUUUUUUUUUUUUUUUUUUUUUUUUUUUGUAAUGUAUAUGAAUGUAAUAGCGAUGUAUCUACCCUCUUUUGCUUACUCUGAUUUUUCUAUAAAUAGAGAAAAACAAAAAUAAAAUUAUAAAUAAGACAUACCGGUGUUACCGGCAUUGUCGGUCCUGUCGUUUGCUUGGAUUAAUAAGUAGUUCCAAUCUAUUUCAAACUACGGCGACUAUAAUAAAUGAACAAACCAUAUAGAAUUUGAGUGAUAGUUGAUCUUCUAGAUAUAACGGAGCACCACGCUUAAACUGAAAACUUUUUCAUCCUUAGAAAAUGUUGAAAUAAAAAAGAUCUUAUUAAAUGAUUCAAAUUAGAUUGUUGUCUGGCAGACGCAGAAUGACAUCCUUGAACUUGUGGUAUAUCAAAAUACUGGAAUUGUAAUCCGUAUUGAACGAGAGAACCGUGUAGUCUGACAAGAGUUUUGCCUUUUUAAAAGUAUAUUCAAUAUCAUCUAGGUUCCACGGAGUUGCCUUGUCAACCCAUAUAGUGUGCAUGUCGGAGUACACAGGGUGAUUUUCCCGAAGAAGAUGAUGAGAAAAUUCCAUAUCCUAAAAGACCAUUCACAAGGGAAUUUUUCCGAUAAAAAGAAACAACUCUGUACUCGCCCCCAAGUCUGUUACAUACGUAGAAUACAAUAAUGAUUCCCAAAUUAUAAUUGAGAAUGAAAAUAUUUACAUUAUCAAGUAGUCCUUAAAUCAGAACUUCAGAAGAUCAUGCUAAUAGUUGUCUGAGAAUAAACCUUCACAUGAAAAUAUAUGAAACGUGAGACUGUUACUGCUGCAAUGGUUGUAUGCUCAGAGUAUAUUGAACGUGUUGUGUAUUGGCUCGCAAUGCGCAGGAUCAUAGCUUAUAUUAAGUGAGGUUUAUAGGAUCAAAUCUUAUGUUUGUUUCUAGAAACAAUGUAUAUAGGAAUUAUACUCUUAUAAGUACUUGGUAUUCUAAUUGGUAAUUGGUAUUGUUAUCCAAUUUGGAUCCUUGUAUGGCCGGAUUAGGAACUCUUGGGUAUUAUAUACUCAACUAGUUGGCUAUUGUAAAAUGGUGGUAAGAAGAAAGGGUGAACCAAAGGUGAAAGCAUUACUAGAUAGAGAGAGAGAGAAGGGGAAAUUUAUGAAGGUUUUCAUAAUAGGGUUUCUCAGGUUCUAGUGUAAGAGAGAAAGAGACAAGGAAUUAUAGAUUUGUAAUAAGGUUUUUUCUUUUCUUGAUUAGUGAAAUCUUCUUGAUCGGUUGCCGGGUGGGGUAGGCGGGUUUGCCAAACCACGUUAAUAUUGGUGUUAUUGUGUGUGAUUAUGUUUUUUUGAUUACUUUCUCUGUUAUUUGUUAUUAUCUAGAUUAUCGGUAUUACAACUAAUCCUUGGGUUAAGCUUCUAUUGCACAACAAGUGGUAUCAAAGCAAGGUUCUAGGUUGUAGCGAUUUUCGAGAUGGCGCAAAGGGUUUCAAGUUUAGGUUUGAAGUUUGAUGUAGAAAAGUUCGAUGGAAAGAUGAAUUUUGGUUUGUGGAAAGUACAAGUCCAAGAUCUCUUGGUACAAUUAAUCCGGGCUACACAAAGCAUUAAAGGAAAACCGGCGGAUAUGUCAGAUGAUUUUUGGGAAGAAUUUGAUUUGAAGGGUAUUAGUGUGAUUCGAUUGUGUUUAACGAAUGAGGUCUUGUCAAACGUUCUCACAGAAAGUUCUUCGGUAAAACUUUGGUUAAAGCUUGAAAGUUUGUAUAUGACAAAGUCGUUAUCAAAGCAAUUGUACCACAAGAAGCAACUUUACAGAUUGAGAAUGGCAGAAGGUACAGGUAUUAAUGAAAUCUCAGUGUCUUCAUAACAUGCUUUCUGAAUUGGUUCAUGUUGGAGUGAAGUUAGAGGAUGAAGAUAAAACACAUCUACUUCUGAACUCCAUGCCCCAAUCCUAUAAGCAUAUUAUCACCACGUUGCUCUAUGGAAAGGAAACUCUGGAAUUGGAAACUCUCGAAAAUUCUUGCGGGGUUUUGUUCCUUUCUUCAUCCUCUUCAAAUCUAUACCAAAAUCCCCCAUUAUCAUGCCUCCUAGACGUAGAGAGAGAGAGAGUGAUUAUCCGAGAGCGCGAUUACUCGCGUCUCUUCAAUGAUAAUCGAUUUGGGAGCACUUUUCUUGAGAGGAUUCAUGCCCGAGGCUGGGAUGUACUCCUUGGCUCAGACUAUGAGCCAUUUGAUCCUCAAAUGGAUCGUCAUUUCUAUGAGUCAAUGGAGUUGGCCGAUGACGGCGUGUUCAUCAACUGGGAUCCUGCCCAUCGUUACCUGCUGACGCCUGAGACUGUCUCCAUAGUCACGGCGCUAGAGAUGGACGAGGCUCCACUGCAGCAGGAGGCUCCACCGGUGACACCAGACGUCAUCGAGGCCGUCCUUGGAUGAUUUGGUGCUUCAUCGGUAUAGCAGCCAUAUCUCGAUCUGUUGGCUCCGAGUCAACCAAGGCUUGGUGGCACACUGGCUGACCACCAAUGUCCUUGGGACGAUAAGGACGAGCGAGCUAUUCUCGGAGGGUAUCCAUAUCCUCCACCUGCUUCAGGAGGAUGUCUAUGGCUACUGUAUGGUCCGCCGUCUUUUUGCGACUAUCACCAGUGCCCGAGCCACUUCUGCUCCACUUCCUAGCCUGGUGAUGGCUAUUCUGCGCUACUGGGAGGCGCCUCUUCUUCCUGCACUCUCUCUGGAGUCGGUCGUCCGACUCGAAGUCUCCAACCCUGGGCUGUCAGCCUGUCGACAGCUGUUGUGGGACCCACAGGCAGAGGUGCCCGUCCAGUACAGGCCCGGGGACCAACGGGCGUUCUUUUCACUCCAUACCAACGAGGAGCGGUUCCAGCUUCUCUGGAGGGGUAUGGGUGAGAUUUUGACUGCAGUCGAGGACUUGCAGCGUCGCUUCGAUGAAAGCCAAGGGCAAUCUCGUCGUCGACGGGGUUGAUUUUCAUUUUUGUUAUUAGCCAUUGUAUUUUGCUUAUGUAUUUUAUUUUGAUUUAGCACUCUUGUAAUAAAAUUUUCGAUCAUUGUACUUUAUUUCAAAAAUUUAAUGAAAAUGGUUGAAAUUUGAAUUAUCUUGUCAACUUGUCCUUUUAUGAGAUUUUUAGCCAUUCUUGGGCUUUAUUGCAAAAUUUUUGACUCUUGGAGUAAAUUUUGAAAUUUUUUUGGUCCUAGGGACCUUAGUCCAAAUAUUUUUAUUAGAAAGGAAGUUAGGGUUUGAUUUUUUGGAAACCCUAUGGUAUUAGGCAACUUUUGGAGUCCUACUAGGGCUCAAACUCUUAAAAUCUAGCCUGUAUAUACCACACCAUAGUUAGAGGACCGUCACUUAAAAAAAUCAGAUUUCAAAAAGUUUUUUAUUUUCUGGUUUUGGCCCGAACUCGACUCGAGUUCCUUAUAGGCCAUUUCAAUCUCGACUCGAGAUUGGACCUGGUAGCAGUUUUCUGGGUUUGUUUUGAGUGAUAUUUUCUCGGUUUUCGUGCUGGUUUUUGGUGUUUUCUUCCUUCUUUUGCAAUGGCUAAAGAUCAGAAUGAGUUGUGGAUGAUCGAUGGCAUGGACAUCGUCCCCGAGAUGGAUUUUUCGGGAAUUAUGGAUAGUCCUUAUGGAGCUUCCUUUAGGGAUGGGAUUUUCGACAAAGGUUGGGAAGGUUUUCUUUAUGAUUCUACUGCUGUGUAUUCCCCUUCUAUGGUAAGAGACUUUUACCGUACGUUCCCCUUUGGUAAUGUUAUUCCCUUUGAUGGUUUCAGAGUUACUAUGCAUGGGUUCCCCGUCUUAAUCAAUUCUUUUGCCAUCCUCGGGCAUUGGGUGUUCCACUCCAAUUGCAACCUGUCUAUUCACAUCCUGAUUACUUCCUUUCCAAUCAUGUUGACAUGUUGGAUAAUUACCUAGAUCACUUUGGCCCUUGCACUUUUUCCUUCCAUCCUGAGAACUAUGCUAAUGUGGCGCCUACCAUUUGCCUACCUGCUAAUGUAGCUAUUGCUGCUUUUAUGAGUCAUGAGAAAUCUCUUAGGUUGGACUAUGUCAAUGAUAACACUAUGCAUGUUGUUUACGGUAUUGUUAAUAAUUUUAGAGCUCUUGACAUAGGUUCCUGGUUAAUGGAUGGCAUAAGAAAUAUUUUUGGGAUCGGUCAGCUAAUUUACCCAACUGCUAUCUGUAAGAUAAUUCUUAAUACCUAUCCUGAUUUGAGGACUAGGUAUAAUGAUUGGACUCACCUUAUCCCUAUGGAUCCUACACACCGUUAUAUCAGGAAAGGUCGCCUAUUCACAUGGGUGCCUAAUACUAUAUAUGUAGAGUUUCCAGAGUUGCAUCGAAAUGAUAAUUUUAUGGAUAAUGGUGAGGGAUCUUGGAAUGUGGUCAAAGAGGCAUUAACCCUAUGGCGUGAUGAGAUGGAUGGUUUGCCAAGGAAGGUUGCUUGAAAACAUGAGUGUAAUGUAGGAUUUCCUUUUUUCUUGAGUCAGUCCUUUAUUUCAGUAUAUUUUAUUUCAGUUGUGUCAUAGUAUGGAGUUCCUCGUAAUCUCUAUAUAGAGAUAAUUUUGUUUGACAGGAAUUUAUAAAGCGGUUUGAAUUUUUAGCACACUCAUGGUAAUAUUUUUCUCUCUCUCUUUCCUAUGCUUAGUAUGAGCCUUGAGGACAAGGCAAUCUCUUUGUUUGGGGGUGGGGAAGUAUUUCAAUCCUUUUUGCAAAAGAUUUUCAAACUUCUUUGUCCAUACUUAUGUAAAAAUUCAAAAAAAUUGAGAAAAAUCAACAAAAAUUCUUUCUUUACAAAGACUUUUUUCAAAAAUAGGAUAAGUACACCAUCAUUGAUGAACAUAAUGGUUGAAUUUCAUUUCAAGUUUAAGGACACUUAUUGUUUCACCAAGUAGUUGAGUCUUAUACUACAUUUGCAUGAGCAUAAGCAUGACAUUCAUAUGUAUUUAUUAUAGAUUACAUGUGCAAAUACGACUACACCUUGAGAAACUUGAGGAAUAAGUGUAGAGACUUAACCCAGUGAGCUUUUGUGCCCCGUCCUUUUCUUGGAGAGUUAUCACGUACAUCUGGAGUCAAAAGACUCAACCUCUCAGUUUUUUCUGUUUUUAGUCUCAUAUUCAUUUUUAUAGUUAGCUUUGAGAUGACAUCAAGUGGGUGUAAUAUAAACUUGGGUCUUGUAGCUUAUUCAAGAUGUGAUCACCAUAUAAGUACUUAGAGAUGAUACAAAGACCUUUAGAUAAACCCUGUUUACCUUAGCCUACCCUGAUGACAUUUUAUUCCCCUAGGUUAACCAUUCUGAGCCUUUCCUUGUUACUUAGCCUUUUUCUUGAGCCCAAUAUCCUUACCCAACUCCAUUGUAGGAGUAAAUACCCUUAGAAGGUUUUAGGUCUUUUUACCUAUGUUUUGGGAACAUAGGGAUGAUUGUUUAUGUGGUUACAAAAAGAAAUGAGAAAUACAAAGAAAUCUCCAAACUAGUGAGAUGAACCAAAUGUUGAAAAUCAAAAGUUUGAAGAAAUUCCAGAAAAAACCAGAAUCUUCCAAACAAUUCCAAAUCCAAAAAGAAAGGAAGAUUCCCAAAUAGGCUAGAGCUUCAUUGAAAUUUUCCAAAAGAAUAAAAGAAACACUUCUUCCAAAAGAAAAAUUUCCAAAAAUUUCUCCAUGUGCUAUUAUUACAAAUCACAAGUAUUGAAGGCCCGAAUGUUCCAAAAAUGUUUCACAAAAGCCUGUGCCAUUUCUAGCUCUGUCCUAAGCCAAGUUACAACCCAUUACUGUCUUUAUAGAUCUAAGCUGAUAUGGUAGGAUGUGGCGAGUAAGUGAGAAGAUGCUGAGGUGAAAAACCCGACAUCUCAAGUAAGGCUAAUUUUUCCAUCCUUUGAGACUAAGUUCAUUCCAUUACACCAGUCCGUUCUUAUAUAUAUGUGUAAGAUGAUUGUCCAUCUUCUUUCCUCACAUAGAGGUAAAAUGAUAAACACCAUCUCUGAGUGAUUUUAUUUCUGAGUGUAUCACUAUGAGGCAGAAGUCAAAGCGACUUUUUCAAAGGUGACUUAAGACCCAUGGUAGUAUGGGUACAUGCCUGUACUCGAUGCAUUUGAAACUAUCAUGCUUGGUUUAUAUUUCAUAUCUUAUUCAUGCAUUGGUAGUAUGUUAUCUCAUAUGAGCGGUUUAGCAAUACUUAUCCUUAUCCUUGAUAUGACCAUUUCUGAGGUACAUGGUAGAAAAUUCUAUUCUUGAAUUAGUCAUUGUAGUAAGUUUGUGGGUACCUUCUCUGGAAAACCCUCAGGAGACUAUAACUCCUCCACUUGGGAAACCCUUGUGGUUGAAAGCCUUGAUGCAUAUGGUUAAUGCAAUCACCUUAGUUAUACUUCUCUUUUGAGUUCCUUAUUCUUUCUUCUCAUCUUUGCUUGAGGACAAGCAAAGUGUUGUUUGGGGGUAUUUGAUCGGACCUCAAAAGUGUAUAUUUAUCCCCCGAAUAACACAUUGUUUGUCUAGCACUUAGCUUAUAUUAUUGUAUUAUAUCUAUUGAUUAGUGCAUUAUUGUCUUUAUGUAGGUUUUAUGAGCCGAAAUGCGAAUAUUGUGUAAAUGCCCGCAAAAAGUCGAGAAAAGCAAGCAAAGAGGUGUUAUUUGCACAAGGGAAAAGAAUGGAUAUUUGCACCCGUGAAAUCUGCUAAGGGCACCCCGCGGUCAACUCUGGUCGACUAGGUUGAGUUGACUUUUUGGUCAACAUUGACUAAGGUUGACUUUUUGGUCAACUUUGACUUUGGUCGACUUUUGGGUCAACUGCUGCUGACCUAUGUUGACUUUCGGUCAACUGUUGACUUCUGAAGACUUUGGGUCAAAUCUGUUGACUCACGUGGACCGGACUUCCUAUUUUGGGUCUUGAUCUUAAAAAGGCUCUACAAGAAGAACCAGAAGUCCGAUUGGGGCCCAUGAGAUAUCAAACUGAAGGUCUUGGCCCAAGCUACUAUUCUGGCCCAAGAGGAUUAGGUUUUGCUGAUUGCCUAAUCCUUCUAAGAGGCCAACAGCAGCAGCCACGAAUUUCACUAAGUUAGGAAGUCUUUGCAUGCAAGUAUUCCAUUAUGUAAUAGAUAUAUAAGAGAAGUUGUAACUAGGGUUUACUAUCUAUCUAGAAUCUCUUUUAGAUCUUGAUCUUCUAGCCUCCACUUGAAGAUCAACUUUUGUAUUCAAUUCAAUCAAUAUCAAUCCAUGAAUUCUUUUAUGAUGUUCUUUGAUUUAAUUAUUUGUUCUUUUGGUAUGAGUAGCUAAAUCAUCAUGGGGGGAAGGUGGAAGCUUUCUAGGUGAUGUAAAAGUAUUAUGUUGUUUCUUCUUAUUCAUUGUGAUUCAAGGUUCUUAAUGUUUACUUAUCUCUAAUUCGCGAUAUGAGGUGAGUAUGGUUAUUUGUAUGCUAUUGUUAUCCAUGGUGUUAAAUAUUAUUGUUAGAAUUUAGGGAGACCUACUUUUGAUAAUAGUAUUAUAUUUAUUGUAGAUGUGUAGUGAAAUAGCUGAGAGGUGAUUACUGUAUUUUUGUUAUAUUUAUCUUUUAUUGGAACCCUUUCAUGAUUAAAUUCAAAGAGGUGAGGAUUUGAUUAAUGAAGCAUAUUCAAUAACAUGCAUCAUAGAAUCCCGUUUUAAUUAGAGUCAAUAGCUGAGAGGUGAGGAUUUGAUUAUUAUUGGUAUUAAUAACUAAUAGGAAUAGCUGAGAGGUGACUUGUUAGUUGUUAUAGAUUGAAUAUGAAGAACAUCAUGAUAUAAUUGCAUAACCUAGAUUGUGGAAACCUACUACUCCCCCUAUGUCAUCAUAUUAUCUUCUUUUCCAUAUCUUCCAUAUUCUUAAGUUAGGUUUAAUUAUUAUUUAUUGUCUGUAGGAAGUAGAAUCAAUUCUCUAACUAUUAUUAUUGAUUCAUUGAUGUUUCUUAAUUAUUGUUCUUAAUUGUGUUUGAGCUAAGAUUUCCCCCUCUGAGGUGGGUACGACCCUUGCUUGUUACUUGUCUACUUUGAUCUUCAAUUUAUACAGGCACAAGAAGAAAAAUCUUUUAAUCUAAUCUUUUGAUACACAAUAAGCGUUCAGUGCUCUUUUAUCUCAUGAAAUCAGAAAUAAAGGCAGAGACGAUGAAUCUCAUGGUGAGGGUUUGGUGAUUAAUGGGGGAUCACAGAAAGGAUUUAACAAGAGUAACAAGGCUCACAUAGAAUGUUGGAAGUGCGGAAAAUAGGGCACUUUAAACGGGAUUGUGAGAAAAAAGGUGGAGCGGUUUUGGCAAAUAGCUCCAAGUCAGGGAAAGGCAAGCAUAUUGCUAAUUCUGGCGAACAUGCUAAUCAAGUGCAGUUUGAUAAUGAAUUACUCUUGGUGACUAAUCAAGAAGAAAAUUUACAUCGGGAAUGGGUACUUGAUAGCGGUGUCACAAAACAUGUUUGUUCACAUAGGUCAUGGUUUGACAAGUAUGAAAGAUGUGAGGGUGGCUAGAUGUCGAUGUGUGAUGGCUCCAAGAAGUCGAUAGUGGGAGUCAGUAAUAUUCACAUCAAGAUGUAUGACGGGAGGAUACAUACUCUUGAAGGUGUUCGACAUAUGUCGAGUUUGCAAAGAGAACUAAUUUUUCUUUUCAAGAUAGAUUCUUUGGGUUACAAGUUCACUGGCAAAAGUUGAGUUAUAGACUUGUAGAGGUUUGCAAGGAUUCCAAUGUGAUUAUGAAAGGAGUCGCGAGUAGUAGUGGCUUGUAUAUACUAUUGGGUCAAACAAUAGUAAGAUCUAGAGUUGGUCCUAAGGCAGGCGAGGUGAUGUUUAAAUCACAGGGUUCUGUUAUGAACAAGGUGGCUGUAGAAGGAAGGAACUCAAGAAAGGGAAAGAUGGUCAGCAAGUGGAUUCCUGUCGGUCAAUCAUAAUUGAUUGGGCACCUAAAAGGGUGGAGGCGACAACGUGGAUCAAGAAGGUUUCACGGGUGCAAGUGGAGUCAACAAUAAUCAAGUUCAUUGCCUCGCCAAGGUGGAGAUUGUUGUGUUUGGCUCGCAAUGCGCAGGAUCAUAGCUUAUAUUAAGUGAGGUCUAUAGGAUCAUAUCUUAUGUUUUUUUCUAGAAACAAUGUAUAUAAGAACUCUACUCCCAUAAGUACUUGGUAUUCUAAUUGGUAAUUGGUAUUGUUAUCCAAUUUGGAUCCUUGUAUGGCCGGAUUAGGAACUCUUGGGUAUUAUAUAUACUCAACUAGUUGGCUAUUGUAAAAUGGUGGUAAGAAGAAAGAGUGAACGAAAGGUGAAAGCAUUACUAGAUAGAGAGAGAGAGAGGGGGAAAUUUAUGAAGGUUUUCAUAAUAGGGUUUCUCAGGUUCUAGUGUAAGAGAGAAAGAGACAAGGAAUUAUAGAUUUGUAAUUAGGUUGUUUCUUUUCUCUGAUUAGUGAAAUCUUCUUGAUCGGUUGCCGCGUGGAGUAGGCGGGUUUGCCAAACCACGUUAAUAUUGGUGUUAUUGUGUGUGAUUGUGUUUUUUUCGAUUACUUUUUCUAUUAUUUGCUAUUAUCUAGAUUAUCGGUAUUGCAACCAAUCAUUGGGUUAAAGCUUUCGUUGCACAACAGAACGUGGCAGAGAGAUCAGCUAAGUGACUAUCGGCUAGCUACCACGGAUUUUACCAACAUAUCCAGUAAUGUUAUCAAAGUUGACGGAAUAGACGGGGUGUGUGGAAUGAUUAGAAUAAUCCAUACCCCUUUCGAUGUCCACGAUGGAUAUCCAACUAUGCAUCUGAAAAUGAUAUAACCAGAGUAGUCAGGAUACUCGGAGAGACUAAGUGGACUCAUACUUAACCGAGUAGCCGGAGUACUCGGAGAGAUUAUUGUGGAUGACUAUGUGUAGUCAUUAUGUAUCGUACGACCUUGUGAGGCGCUAGCAUGAAUUGAGUCAUGAUCUGAUAUGAUUGUUGACAUCUUUGGCAAUUUAUAAUUUUGAAACUUUUGUUGUUGCCUGGUUUCUCAGUCCGUGGGGACGAGCAGACUUGUAGCUAUUGUAGGAGCUUUUAUUUUCAAAUCACUCGUAUGGAGCUCUGAUUGUGCUGUGAAGCAUUUGCAGUGGAGAAUUCAUUCAAUCCCGUUACAGAAGUCAGUCUAGCCCUAUCGUCACAGAGGCUAGCUGUUUUGUCGGCUUGACAUGACUGACCUCACGGUCCUACUUCCAUCUUGGAAGGCUUCCCGCAAUGCUGAUGUUGCAGCCAUCAUGGGGUACGAGUAAGGGGGUAAGAGCUGCUAGGCGGGGCUAGCGUCGUGCCAAGACUUCUCUCUUACCAGCCAUAGUCGCCCCCAAGUAUUCAACUUGCUUCCUAAUCAGGACAUCCCAGCAAGACCGUUAGCAUGGCUCUUGGCGGGGUUGCAGCUAUGAAACAUAAGUGGAUAGAAUGAUAUAAAACAUGUAUGCCAGAAUGCGAAAACUCCAUAUUUGUAUACCAGAGUGCGACAACUCCAAGAUAAUUAUAUUUAUUAUAAUUAACAUUUGUAUGCCAGAGUGUGAAAACUCUAAGAUAAUUAUAUUUAUUAUAAUUAACAUUUGUAUGCUAGAGUGCAAAAAUUCCAAGACAUGUUAUUCCAAUAAGCAAUAUAACAUAAGCUUUUGCUAAUGAAGACAAUUUCGUGUGAACCGUGAAGAAAUAAUAUGAGCUCUAACAUUUUUGACCCCAAAAAUGCCGAAACUGAGUUAACCGUAGAUAAAUAAUAUAAGUUCUACCAGAAAUGACACAAUCGUGUGAACCAUAGAGAAAUUACAUGAGUUCAGGAAAAGAUGACACAGUCGUGUGAACUGUAGAGAAAUAAUGUGAACUCCAACAUUAAUGAUGCCAAAGUGAGGCAACUGGGUGAUCCAUAAAGAAAUAAUAUGAGUUCUGCCAAAGUUGACAUAGUCGUGUGAACUGUAGAGAAAUAAUAUGAGUUCCAACAUUAAUAACACCAAAGAUGAGGCAACUGAGUGAUCCCCAGAGAAAUAAUAAGUGUGUAACAUAAGCCUCUUGACUGGCUGAGUAGUCCGCCUAGAAAAGAUCUGUAACAUGAAUUACGCUAUAUGAAUGAACAUCAAGAAUGGCAUUGCCGAGAAAGAUUGGCAGAAAGAUCCAAUAAGUAAUUAAACAUAAGCUCUGGAUGCUAAGAGUUACAUGGCCGAGUAAACCACAUAGAAAUUUCCAGUCAUAACAAGUUCCAGUAACGCCAAUGAUGACAUGGUUGAGUGAACUAGUUGAGUGAACCUUAGAGAAAAUAAAUAUAAGUUCCCAUGUAAUAGAUGCCAAGAAUAUCGCGACUGAGUGAACCGUCUAGAAAAGAUCGAAUCAUAAUAAGCUCCAAUGAUGCCAAGAAUGACCUUACUUGGUGAACCUUAGAGAAAUUAAAUAUAAACUCCCAUAUAAUAGACGCCAAGAAUGUCACGACCGAGUGAGCCGUCCACUCUAGAGAAUAUAUACUUGUAUAAGAACAUUAGAAGAAUCUGUAUAAGUAGAAUACGAGACCAUGAAGCAGUUAGAGUUGAUAAUUAAAUUUUGUCAUAGAAACGACAUUUUUAGCCAAGUUGAACCUGCUCAUCUUUUAAAAAACAUGUAACCAAUAAUCUUUUCAAAGCAGAGAGUAUACUUGGCGUAAAACUAAAGUAACAUAAUCUUUGCCAAGAAUGACUUGACCGAAUGACCUUACAAAGAUACUCGUGUAUGAGCAUUUAGACUUGGUGACCUUUCGCAAGAAAGGCAACCAAUAUAUUUAUGUAUAUAAUACGAUGAAAACAUAUUUAACUUCACAAGACUUAAGCAUGUAAAUGCAUUAUUGGACACAAAUAUCCAAGUGAACCGUGAAAACUUAGCAUGUAAAUGUAUUAUUAGAUAGAGAUGUCAAAGUAUAACAUGCAAAUACAUUAUUGGACAGAGAUGUCCGAGUAAUCCGUGAAAACAUAGCAUGCAAAUGCAUUAUUAGAUAGGGAUGUCCGAAUAAACCGUGAAACUUAGUAUGUAAAUGCAGGAAACCGUGAAAACUUAAUAUGUAAAUUCAGGAAAAAAAUGUCCAAGUAAACCGUGAAGACUUAGUAUGUAAAUGCAUUAUUGGACAUAAUUGUCCGAGUAAACAACGAAAAAAUAUAAAUACAUUAUUAGAAAGAGAUGUCUGAGUAAACCGUGAUGUGUGAGCAACUGUAACAUCAUUGAAAAGAUAAAAUCACCAUCAAUAGUUGUAACAGGUUACCUUACCCGCCAGAACUGCUACUUGAAGAAGAAAUCUUCAAAAGAAAUCCCCAUAAAGCACGAUGAAACAUAGAUAUAAGCACAAACAUGAGUGAGCCGUCAAUAAUAAGUAACAAAAAAUGAUUUGACUAAAUGAACCAUAUGUGUAUGUGCAUGCUUGCUCAUCUUUCACAAAAUAUGCAACUAAUAUCUCUAUCCACAUAAUAGAAUGAAAGUAAAUUGAAUCUAAAUUUUUUUUAGUAAAUGCAUUACUAGAUAGAAUAUUCCAACUGUGAUAUGUGUUAACUCUGUGAGAAACUAUAUCAUCAUUGAAGAGACAAUAUCUUCCUCAAAGUACUUAAACUAGGAGUUAUAACGGAUUACCUUACCACCAGAGUUGUUGGUUAAGUAAAAAGAAAUCAUAAAAAAGAAAUCCUCUUGAAAGGUGAUGAAACAUAUAUCUGAGAUCUAGUGUAGCUUGAAUACCGAUAUCAAAAGUUCUCUUUGUUGUAUUGUCCUUCAAAGUGAAGAUCUGAUGUGUUUUGUAAAUAUCGCGAUAUUGGCUGAAACUUGAUGAAGUUUGGAACCAUUUUUCAGAUUCGUGGAGAAAACCUUCUCGUCGUGGAUCUACAUAUUGUCUCUCUUUUUCAAGAACUCACGUCUUCAUUUAUCUCACUAACCUCGAACUGUUCAGAUAACCUAGAACUAGAAUAGAUCGAUCAGUUAGUGGUUGCCCUCCUUCUAGGGCCAUUAUGCAAGCGGUAUUUCCGCCUACAUCUUGAGAUCAGUGAGGCCAGUGAAGAAUGGUUUAACUCCUUCGUCAUCAUCUCUGUUACCUGUAAAACACGCCGGGGUUGUUCCCGACGUUAGCACUCCAACGCUCAAGUCAGAUAGUGUAGAUGAAGAGAAGAAGAAGAAAGACAAAAUGUGUUGAGUGAAGUGAUGGAUCAUACCUUGUGUUUAGGGUUUUGCCCCUUAUAUACUAUUCAUACCUUGUAUGUAAUGUAGGCCGUGAGAUCUUAGAAGACCUGACGGUUGUGAUGUAGAGAUGUGGACCUCUGGCUUCCAAGUAUUCUCUGUCAUGACUGAUCCGUGCUUGCCACAUGAGCUGUACAGUCUGUCUUGUCUGAGUGAUAACCUGCAUCGCAAGCUAUUUUACUAGGUUGAUUCGUUAGAACCGAGUAACACGUGGAAUCUGGUAUAAUUAUGUACUUACAAAAUGUAGAGGAAUUUUGGCAGCCAUUAAAUGGUGCGUCGAACAACAAUUCUCAAGGCUAGAAGUGGAGACUGAUAAUGAAGGAGUAACAGACUAUGCAAAAGAAUGGGAACUCACUGGGUCCACUGUUGUAAUCUAUCCCACCUCCUUGGUUGAUACACUAGUUGGUUUUGGAUAUAGAUAUCUUGUAAUUUGGUUGUUGCCUAACUAUUUAAAGACCACUUAAAAAAAAAAAAAACUAAAGUUGAACCUUUUUAGAAUCCAGAAUGUAGAGAAGCCAAUGUAGUACAGUUAUGCGUUUGAUUGCAGAGUGGGAAAAAAAGGAAGUGGGAAUUACUUUGGCUGUGUUUGAUAGUAAGAGUGGGAAUUGGAAGUAUAACCUCAAUAAAUUAAUAGUCUUGGGACUCAGGAAAUAUUUGACUCAAUUUUGACUCAAUCCUAUUUAGGGUACUUGUACAUGUUGGAUGAGCGGGCGGGGCGGGGCAGGGCCAAAUAAUCCCCGUUCUUAGGCGGGGCGGGGCGGGGAACGGGGGGCUUAAGAAAGUUCACCCCCAUCCCUGCCCUGUACAGGUCGGGGGGCGGGGAACGGGGCGGGGACGGGGAAAAGUUUAUAAGGAUCAGAGUCCUGAGGUUCUGCUGCUGCCUUUCAGCCCACACUGUACAUGUGACUUACAUUUGCACCAAUCUGAACCUUUCAGUUGGUGGACCACCCCCUUUUAGUUAAGUUACAUUGCAUGGAAUCUUUCAAUCUCAUUAUUUACUUAUGUCUGAUAGAUGGAAUUUUAUAUGCUGUGAGCCUUAGUUUGGAUUUUAUCAACUAAAAAAAAAUGAAAAACUAAUAUCCAUAACUGGAAGAACAAUUCUACUCAAAUGACCAUAAAUUCCAGCAGUAACAUACUGAAUUGUAUACAUAUGCAAUAUCGACAAAUUCGAGUUUCAAGAAUUCAUUUAAAUUAUUCCAUAAGAUCUAAACAUUGCAAAUUGAUUACUGAGUUGAAAUAAACUCGCAUAUCAAUACGUAAACAACUAAACAUACAGGAUUAGAAACUGAAACUUGUAUAAUCUAUAUCAAUGUGUAAACAGGAUUGCAAUAUAGACAAAACAGAGGCCAAAAUGAUAGUAGAAGAAAAUAGAACAUAGCCAUUGAAUUUCUAACUAAUUACUGAUUAAAAACUUUAAAUAGAAAAUAGCCAUUGUAUAGCCAUUACAAUUGAAGGAAGCAGAAAAUGGUGGGAUUCAUUGGAGUGGGAUCCUGCCUAUCCCCAAAAUAUCCUUCAACCCUUCUUCAAAGAGAAACAAGGUAUGUAGAAUGAAUUGUUACUCCACUUUUGGUCCAAAGCUUCCAUCUUUUCACUCACAAUUGGGUCAAUUUCUAAUUCAUAUAUAUUAAUAUAGUUCAUAUUUUAAUAGAUAUAUGGGAAAUCAAUUUGAAUUAAGAAAAGUCGUAUGUUUUGUUUGAGUUUAUACAUACAUUCCAUAUUUACACGGUUUACUCCAACUCUCAUGCCCAAUAUUUGCAUUAAACAACAGUGUGCAAUACAUUGACUACCUGUACAAAGAUUGCCUUCCCCAAAUUCCUAUUUUGAUUCGAUUUUGCAUAUUUCAAGAAUAUUUGUGUUCAAGAUAAUAAGAUAUGAUGUACUCCGUAUUACAACUUGCGACUGUCAUUAACUAGGCCCAAUAUUUUCUUUUCUGCAGGGAAGUCUUAUGGGUUAAACAUAGAUAUACAUAACAGAGUUACUUGUGCUUAUUGUGAGGUAACAUCCAUGUUUUACUUUCAUAUUGAAAUGAUAUUUUUGUUUUAUAAAAUAUUAGGAGGGUGAUUCAAUAUGAGUAAAAGUCUAGGUACUCCGUACUUGUUCUUGUUUGAAUGGCUUAAAUUUGUGCUAAACUAGGACUUUUUUUUUAAUUCAAAACAAAUUUUAUUGAUAAAAAUUUGAGAAAUUAUACAAAGUUAGAGUACAAGCACGCUACAAACUUCGUUGCAAGCCCUUUUUGAAUACCAAAACCAAAUCUACGAAAUACAUAUUUUAUUUUUUUUUUUAUUUUUUUUAAAAAAAAAAAAAACGCUAGGGUUAGGCACACCCCUACCGGAUUUUAUUAAAGAAAGAAAGAAUAAAGAUUACAUUCUAAGGUACAACUUUCCCGAGGCAUCAUUCAACAAAAUGAUAGAGAGUUCUUUUGAGAAUGGCCUAUGGUAUACAAUACAAAGAUCAGGGGGGGCACUUAGGCCAGCUAGGCUUGUAUUUUCCUUGUUUCUUGCAUCUCCAAGAAGGAUCAGAUAUUCCAUUAAUGAUGUCAGCAGCAAGUUUAGAGUCCGUCAAUAUAUUAACCUUUUUUAGACCUUGCUCCUUAGCAAUCUCCAUGCCUACCUUGAUAGCCUGUAGUUCAAUCACAGUGAUGGUAGUAUGCUUAGUCCCUCCAGUAUAGGCUACCAAGACCUCACCCUUGUGAUCUCUCAACAGUCCUUCAAUCCCUGCCAUGUUUCACUGAGAGCCCCAUCAGUAUUAAGAGCGAAAUAGUCUUCAUCAGGGGAUUCCCACUUACAGUAAGUACCAACAUUCCGUUUGAUCUGUAUUCUCAGGUUCAUGAUAUGUACGAUGCUAGAGUUCUAAAAAGAGUCCUUGACAGUAUUCACUUUCAGGUGAUUUCUCUUGAGUACUUUGUCCUUGAUAGUUGCGACGAUCUUUGUAGGUGUAGAAAACAAGUUUCUAAAGAUCCUGUCGUUUCUCUCCUUCCAAAUCGCAUACACAGUUGCACUUAGAGCAGCUUGUAAGAACUGUUUGUGGAAUUCCUUACCGUAAAAUUAUGGCAAAUCCAUUUCCACUCCUUGUGUGCAUUUCUGCUCCCUCAAUAGAAUCCACACCAUUGUAAAAUAGCAUGCCAUACUUGCUUCGAGUAACUACAAUAAAAAAAGAGGUGCUGCACUGAUUACAUUGCCCAAACCUCCUUUACUACUAUCCUUGAACAAUGGCUGAUCUAUCCAAUUAUCCAAAAAUCUAAAAGGGAAGUUUUUUCUAUGUCGCUGGGCAUGUUGCAUAAUGAUAAUUGGCGAAUGGUCAGAUAUACUCAUAUACCUUGAGGAAGGAAGUGAGCUUCUGUAUUACUCCUUUGUUGGAACCAGACUUGAUUGACAAUCACACGAUCUAGCUUUACCAUGGUUCUCCCCUUACCAUUUCCUCUAUUAGUCCAGAAAUAAAAAGUACCAAAAUAUAUUAGGUCUUCAAGUCCAUUCAUUUCAAAACAGUCCACAAAGUCUCUAAGGUCUCUGUCAUGUAGUACUGAACCUCCCACCUUUUCGUCACUACUCCUACAAGUAUUAAUUAAAGUCAUCCAUGAGAAUCCAGGGCUUCUGGAUAUUGGGAUUGAGAACAGAGAUAAAGUCCCAAAGCUUGUGUCGAAGGUGUCUUUCAUUCCGAGCAUAAACAAUGGAGCUUGUGCCUCAACAUAUUUGGCAACAAAAGAUGUAAAAUUCUAACAGAUGUAGAAUUUUAUUACAUCCGCCUCCGAACACAGAUGUAGAAUUUACUCAUGGUGAUCUUGCCAAAUAUUACAUCCGCCUCCGUACAUAGAUGUAAAAUUUACUCCAUGUAUAUUUAGAGAAACAAAACGAUCGACUGAUUAUUUGGCACCGGAGAUAACUUUCAAUAAUAUUUUCACUCUUAAAAGACAUGCAUGAUGACUUUAGUAUUGAAAAUAAAAACUAGCUUUUUUGCUUAAUUUUCAUUUUAAAUCUUCGACUCAAAGGGAGAUGGCAUUGAAGCAAAUAUGAUUUAUUUAGCAUUCAUUUAUAAUUCAAUCUGUAAAGUUUUCAGUCCUGCAGUAAUAUUUUGUUGCUUUUAACCUUUACUCAUGCAGUAAUGUUCUUAAGUCUUACCACCUAAAUGGAUAACUUGACAGAUGAAUCCAAUAGUCAGAAAUCGAUACAGAUGCAAGCAUUGUUGGGAGGAAAAUGUCGUCACUGAGCAAGGCGUAGGUUUUGAUUUGUGUGAAGAUUGUUAUCAAACUCUCUUCAAGCAUCGAGAGCUUGCCGAUCUGUAUCACACACAAGGGCAUGCAUUUGAGCCCAACUGGCACCUACAUGUUUACAUUAAUGUUGCAACUGCAUUAUUAAGCCAAAAAUUAUUAAGCUAAACUAGAUCAGACCGAACCAAUUUAAUUCGUUUCGGUCUUCGGUUUGGGACUUUAUUUUUGGCCUGUGUUUUGGGCUUUAAUAACUCAUAACUUUUCUUUUCUUUAUAUAUAACAGGCCUGAAUAUGACCAUUUAGACUCCGCCCAUUUAAUUGUUUUUUUUUUUUUUUUUUGUAAUUUAUUGAAUAUUUGAAUAUAAUCUAACAUUUAUCAAAAAAAAAAAAUCUAACCUAUAUUGAAAUAACGUAAAAUAACAUAUAUAUAAGGAAAAAAAAUAAAAUAUAUAUAUUCUCAGUUCGGUUCGAACCGAAAUAUUAGAAUAGGAACUGGAAUUGGACUGUAUAUACUCGGUUCGGUUCCAGUUCCAGUUCGGUUUUGACCUGGUUCGGUUCCGGUUUUAAUUCGGUUUUCCGAUUUUUUGCCAACCCGUAGCUAAUACGCUAUAGCGACCCGACCUAUAUCACCACCGAUAUUGUUCCCACUUAGCCGACAGUGUGGGGUUUUAUGGGCAGCAACCUGCUUCCUUGGAGGUCACCCAUCAUGAGACUACUCUCAGCCGAACCCGCUUAACUCCAAAGUUCUUUUGAACCCUAGAGACAAGUGAACCCAAAAGGCCUCGGUGAUAAUAUACGACGAAUCUAUACCUAUAUUCCAAUGUCAAGACACCCCCUCUUAUGUGUCGUACGACCCACCCUCUCGGUAAAUCACCUACCGACCCAGGGUGUUACAUACGCAUAAUAAUCUUUUGUUUUCUCAUUUGAUUCACGAAUAAGAAGCAUAUUUUACAAAUUGGCUUAGUUGUGGCAUUAUGGACAAGUUGAAUUGCAAAUCUAAUACGAGGGUUUGUGACUCUCUUGAAACAGGUACCAUAUAUAAGCGUUCCAAAUUAUGGGCCUCCUUAACUUUAGGGAGAAGAGAAAUCACCUCCGUUGGCCCUCUGCGAUAUCCUUUGGAAUGGUGGGAUUCAAAGAGACUUGUACAGCAGGUACAUACUACGUAUUAUCAACCCGAAUUUGGUCAAAGUUUCCAUCGCCUUCUUUUGAUUUAUUUAUUUACUUACAAUUGGGUAAGUUUCAAUUAAUUGUUUUUUCUCAAUUAUUUCAUUGUCAUAAGAAUUAACUCUCCAAAAGGUAACAUGGCAUAAUGCUUGAAAUUUUUUGUUUUCUAUACUUUGUAUUUUCUUUAUCGUUUUUACUAGGUAGGGUUAAUAGUUAAUACACUCAUUUUCUUUAUCGUUAAUUAUUUCAAUGUAUGUUUAUUAGGUACAGUCUUGGUUUUUUACAGAUAGCAAGAUGACUAUCUGUCAGAAAGUGUUUUACUAAAAAGAAAUUAAAUAGCCUCACUGCCAAAAGAUUAACAAAGAUGAAUGGACUUCUUGUUCUUAAUGGCCAUUACGUUAAAAUUUUGUGAAUUAUUGAGAAACCUGCUAUCGUCGUAAAUAUAUCUUGACAUGCAAUGAAAUUACAAUAAUUUUUCGUAACUGAGAUUUGGUCCAGAUCUUUUGGUGUAUACCAAGGAAGGACUUGAAUUCAAAACAUCGACAACAACUAUAUCUGGGAAAAACUCUAAAUAUGUUGCCAAAAUACUUAUUCAAAGUCCAAAUAUUAGUUGGGCUAGUUCUGUAAUGGGAGUCGAAUUGAGGUCCCACACGUCAUCUAUUGUAUUAUUGAGGUCCCACACGUCACCGAGUAACUUUUUAUUAUUUCGUCCAUCAACUCAUCCCCAAUUAUUUGGUCCUUUCUUCUUCUUCUUCUUCUUCUUCACUGUUUAGCAAUUAACUUUGUUCCCAAUUCAGAUCCAUUUCAUUUCAUGCAUAUAUGUUCUAUUAGUGAAGUCUCAAUCUUCCUAGCUUCUUCAUCUUGUCAGUAAUUUUGUUUACUAAAACAACUUCUAGCACCUUAAGAUUUGUGUUUUGGUAUGUAUAAUCUUUAAAUUUAUUUUUUUAUUUUCAUAAAAGAAGUGCAUUAAGAAUUGAAUUUUUAAUUUUAGGUACUGAAGAUGAGUCGAAGAACAGGUCUUGCUUUUCACCUAUAGACCAAGAAUGAGUUGAGCAAUUAAUUUGACUAUUGAGCAAUUAGCUAGUAAGCCUUUUACAGUAUUAUUAUUUUCUUAUUUUUUGAUAGGCUCGCUUGUGUUUUUGACACAAAUUUUAUUCCCUCUGUCCCAUUUUAUUGUUUUUGACCAAAAUUAAAAGGGUUAGAGUAAUUAAUUUUUGCAUAUUUUUUUCCAUAUUUACCCUACCUUUUAUUAUUGUUUUCAUGCAUUUAAUAUAAGUUGAAGUAUUUGAUUAUUAUUUAUAGGUUGCUAAAAAUGCUCAUUAAAUAAAGGUAAAUGGGUAAUCUGUGUUAUUCAAUCUCAAUUGCCGUAAUAAGAAAGGAAAACAGUUUCCAAGAAUUUACUUUCCUACGUUUGGUUUGGUUUCGUAUUAAAUUAUGAAUUUGGAAUAUCUCACACUAAAAUAAACAUUUAAACAAAAAAACACGAGUGUAACAAUUUUUAAGUAAAAAACAAUCUAAAUCUAUAUUAAUUCAAAAAUUAACAAAAGAAAACAAUAAACCAUGUCCAACAUCUAAUGUAUAAUGUGGAUGCGAAGGUAUGUAGCCACUCCUUACGCAUUUCUAACUUCCGAACCAUAAACUUCUUUCCUUCAAGUUGAUGUGCCACGAGAUAGUUAAAUGCCUUUUCAAGGAACUUCUCAUCAAAACCUUUCAUAUUUAAUCCCUCUAAAUAUAAUUUUUCAACAAAACUAUCUUCAACCAAAGCUUCGGUCAAUUUUCCAACUUGUUGACUUAAAUCAUCAACCUUUGACAUCACAUCCUCCCAUGGUCUACUUCGUUUUCCUCGUCUUCUAUUAUCCGAAGAAUCUUUUUGUGUAGCACUCGAGACUUCAUUUACAUCAUCGGUUUGAAUGUCCGAAAGUGAUUUUGUAAAACUUCUGGUAGUUUGAUCCUCUCCACAAACAGGUCUCAACUCUUCGUAUUGUUCAAUUGGGACAUUGAUGAAUUCUUUAGUAUAUGGAUUCUCCUACAAUAUAUGAAUUAAGCAUAAUAUUAACAUUGGUCAUGACUUACAAAUGCUUGAAGUACUUUAAAAAAUAGCUUAUUAUAAAAGGGACAAAAGAAUAAGUUUAUUAUAAAGGGGAAGUAACACCAUGUCCUUAGACCUUAACCAGUAUACUCACAUUUAAGUUACAUGUUAACAUAGAAUUGAAAGAUAACAUCUUUCUAGCUACAACCACUUUGCCAAAUCAAGACUAUAGGUAUUAUUGGUUUUUGCCACACCCACUUCUUGGUACAUAUAUGUAGCAAAGACAGACCCAAAACAACUUCUUCAAAAUAUCUUAUUUGUAUUUGAAGAGAAAACUGGUUAUGCAUAACAAAGCUUACCUUAUUUUUUGUGGAAUCAAAACAUGAAUCAUAAAGACAACGGUGCAACAAAUAAUCAAAAUUGUCGGUAUAUUGACAUGUAUGUGUACUCAUUUCUACAUCAUUAAAACUAUAGAGGACUGGUGACUUCACAACCUUGGAACAUAACAACUGUACAAUACAUAAUAAAGGAUGGUUUUAUACCUCAAUGAACUCCAAUGCAUCCUCUUUACGGACUUCGAUAAUCUUUCUCUCUUCAUCCCAACCCCAACCACUUCUUUCUCGGAGAGCCUUUAUUUUUGCGUAUUUCCUCUUCACCAUCUUCAUACGAGCUUCAACAUUAUCAAUUGUACACAAUUGUUUGACACUAUCCGUGACGGCUUUGGCAGCCUUAGUAUAGACGGCCUUUGGAAACGAUUUCCCACUCUUCUCACCAUUGUAAGUGUUGCAUCAUAUAUAGUUACAAUUUCUUUGCAUAAGGCCAAUGGUAACAACUGUAGAACUGUACGACCACGUCGUCUAUCAUGAUCAUAGAGAAGGUGCAACUGUACAAAAGUAUUAAUGUCUGUGGAAAUCUACCUGUACAACUGUACCAUAAAUAAAAGUUACUAUUACAGGACGCAUUAUUUGAUGGGAGCUGAGAAGGUAGCUAAACUAAGCUACUGCAUCAUAUAUUGAGUGCAAUAGUGAGUCGAGAGAACAAGUUACAGAGUCAUAGAAGGUGCACAAAUGAAUGUUCAAAACACAAAUAUAGAAUACAGAAUUAAUUGACAAGCAUUCCAUCAGUUGAUCUUAACCAUGUCCUCGAAAUACAAUCUCGAAAAGCAACCUACAACAACUGCAACCAUUUACUGCACUCCCCUCAUAGGGAUUCAUAAAUUCAAUACUUAGAUUGUUGGGUCGUAUUAAUUUAAGGCAGCGAAUGGGGAGCACGUUAUUACCACAGCGGAUAUGAACUUUACAACAACAGCGAAUUGGGUAACCAUCUAGAUUGGGCCAUUCGAAAAGAAGGUUUAUUCCAAUACGGGUACACCAAUCAAAUGUGGGUGAUUUUUUUAUCAAUGGAAAUGGGCAUAAUCCCUUUCUUUUUUUCUUAGAACACAAAAAAUUACUGGAAGCACCACUAGUCUCGUUGAGGCCAUGAACAAUUGUAUGUUGUCAAGGUUUAACUAGUAGUAUUAGAGUAGUAGAUAUGACUAAUUGAGUUUUCAGUAAUGAAUGUAACAUUUAUCUGAAAAAUCAAUCAAUUCAGCAAGUACAAAACCUGGAAAAUGACUACCACAACUGUUCACGAUCACAAGUUUGUUGUUUCAUACAUCUUAAUUACAAACAUAUGAUUGAACAGAAAACUUUUGAUAUCUCUGGUUAAAUGGUUUUAUUAAAUUUUCCAGUGAGUGCCAUCUAUCAAAUUGUUUACUAUAGUAAGAAUCAAAGGCAGACUCACCAUUCUCCUAGUACCUCAUCAAAUAAAACUACCCCAUGCUUGCAAAAAUCCCAGAAAAUAUACAUAUCAACAGAUAAGCUAACUUGUACAAUAUCCAAUACUUGCAAAAUUUGGAGAGAAAAAAAAAAACCCAAACUUUAAAAAACAAUUAUAAAAUAAUGAAUUUUUACCUUGCUUUGACUGUAGCGAGAAGGGGAGCUCCAAAUUUUUAAACCCGCAUAGAAACUAGGCGGAAUUUGCUUUCCUAAUAUUUUCGUUUCCCUUUUGAACCAAACAGUUGGAAUUUAAACUUUCUAGGAAAACGUUUUUCUUUCCCUUAUUUUUCUGUGAACCAAACACGCCCUAUGUGUAUUUCAAUGAAAAAACUUAAUCUUGAAAAAUUUCAGAAAUUAGAUCGGAUCGAAAUUAUAAAACUAGUUCCAAUUCCAUUCCAUUAGUGUUUGAAAAAAAUAAAAAAUUGGAACUAGCAUUUUAUGUUCCAAAAUAGAAAAAAUCAGAUUAGAAAUCGGAAUUUUGGCAAAAAUCUCCACCCUUAGUUUUGACAAAAUUUGUACCAAGACCUAAUUACAAUAUUAAAUCGAAUCAAAGCAUAAAUCACCUAUUAUUACACAUGUACGAAAACCUAAAUAGUCCAUAGAAUUACUAGCUUUUGUUAAACAAAAAAACUAUAUGUUGCAGACUUGCAGGAAUUAAACAACAAUAAAAGAAAGAAGAUUAUAGGGAGAUUUUUUGCCACCCACUAAUAAGUGUUUAAUUCUUCAAACUCUACCAGGAAUUAAAAGUCACAAUAAUUUGAGAGAAAAGACAAAUAAUGGGUUUGAAAUACCCAUUAGGUGAAAUUGUGAAAGUGAAUUUAAGUUACCACACCUCUAGAUCCAAUUCAAAUAUUUUUAUCGUUGUUUAUUAAUUGAUCUAUUAAAAUCUACUACAACUUUAGGCUUUCAUUUAUGUAUAGUCGAUCUUUAAAUUUUGUUUAGAAAGGAAGUGCAGAACGAAUUAAGUUUUGUGAUGUAAAUCUCUAUUUUGUGAUAUAUGUUCUACUAAACAGGGUGGGGUCUGUUGUGCGCAGCGGAAACUAAUGCACAAAUAAGAUGAUUGAACUAGUGUAUGAAAUAAAAUAAAACGACAAAAUCAAAAAAACAAGCAACCACACAAGACACAAGAUAUACGUGGUUCGGCAAUAUGCCUACGUCCACGGGGAGAAAGGAUGAUGCUUUUCUUAUCGAGACAAUUGUACAAGCCCUCACGAAGAAAACCGAAGUCUUCUUCCUCACAAAAGUUCUCAAACUCUCUAAUGGCUUCUCACAAUCUCUCUAACAUCUCGCAUAAUUAAGUUUUUCCCCUUCUAUUUGGCUUUAUACCAUAGCCUUACAAUAGACCACGAAUUGGGCUUAAACACGGCCCAUAUAGCACAAAAACAAAGGAGGACGUACGUACGUCGAGCCACGGAGAAGUUAUCUGACGUACGGGACGUACGUACACCCUAACUACGUACGUACGUUCCUGAACAAGUAAUACAACGUUCGUACGUCGAAUUGACGUUUGUACGUUCAGCAAAUACCAAGUUGUCUGUGAUACGGGACGUACGUACGCCCUAACUACGUACGUAUGUUCCCAGACAAAAAACUUCCCCUUGCCCUCUUGUUUUCCAUAAAAAACCCAACAAUUCUCUACCUCGGCGAAGAUUCAAUAAGUCUAAGCCGACACCAAGAAUAAAACAAGUCAUAAACUCCCACACAUGUCCCGAAAGACCACCUCGGCUGCACCACCUCAUGGUUGCCUACGUACCCUUCUGCUAAGGGAUCAAGCCAUCGUAGUUUACUUCAAGAUAUACUAUCAACUCGAAAGAAGGAUAUGGACCAAUUCUAAGCAAUAGAACUUAGUCCCAUACACCACUUUAGUCACGACAAUUUUCCAAGCUUCUGUCGGAGACAAAGCAACCAUAGAAUGUAAUUGAGACAACCUGCUGAUAGAUCUCACUGCCAAUGUAAACACAUAUCCAGGAGUAGACCAACGUCUAUCUAAGUGACAAUCAUACUCAACAUCUACAUAACCAACACACCGCAGCCUCAGAGUCCUUCCAUGUUGAACUAACAAACAAACCUCCACACUACCUUGAAUGUAGUGGAACAUCCAUUUCACAGCUUCCCAAUGUCUCAUAUCAGGAUCAUGCAUGUAUCUACCUACAAUGCCCACUGCUCGUGAAAUAUAUGGCUUGAAACACACAAACUCAUCAUACUUUGCAACUCUAGAACCACUAGGCUGAGACAAAUAAAUCUCCUCAUCUAGCUCACCAUGUAAAACAACCGUUUCCACAUCAAACAGAGCUAACACCAAAUCAGAUCGCACUACCAAGGCCAUAAGGAUGCAAACGUUUACCUUCAAGUGCACAUCUUUACCUGGAGAUUCUUCUUCCUUCUUAGGUAAUCUAGUUGCAAUUGGACCCUCAUAAUUAGGAUCACCAUUUUCUGCAUUUCCAAUCGUCUCAUCAUCUGUCAUGUCAUCAGAAUUUGAAACACCCAAAAUCCUUACAAGAGUUUCCACAUUAGAUACAGAACCCACUGGAACAUAUGGAGAUAUGCAAAUUUCCACCCACUGCAAAACCUCUUUGGUCUUGUUCUCCACCUGCUGAGAACUCUCAGGCUCCAACAUAGAAACCUCCAUAAGAGUUUUACCACUAGUCACAAUCAAAUGCAACCUGUUAAUAAGAUGACAUGUCUCAACCCGAAACACUUUGCCUAAUCCAGCCAUAGACAACAUAUGUUCUGCCACCAUAUUCUGUUGCAGUGUCUUUCUCAUAGUGAAGUGACGCUCAAUACCCUUAGUCUGACAUACUUGCAAGACCGGAUCAUCUUUGUACUCUAUGCUAUUAUCUAAGCACAAUACCAUGAUCUUUGUGUCAAUUCGGGCCUCAACUAGCUUCUUCCACUUCAAUAUUUCUAGGACUUCAUCCUUAUGCUUCAUGAUGUACAUCCACACACGCCUAGAAAACUCAUCAACUAAAGACACAAAAGAAGACUUACCUCUCUAAGCUGUGUACUUGGUAGGUCUCCAGACAUUCAUGUGAACAUAAUCAAGAACUCCACUCAUACAAUGGAUAGUUGUGCCAAACUUUGCUCUUAUCUGCUUGCCCAGAUCACAAUGCUCACCGAACUCUAACUUGCAGGCGAUAGCACCCAUAAAAAACCUUUGCUCCGUUAUUGUCUGCAAAGAUUUUUCACAUUUAUGCGUCAGCCGCAUAUGCCACAAUUUGGUAGUCUCUCUAGCAAACUUCGUUGUAGCCUCUGACAUGGCCACAUCACAUGUAACUGUACUACCGUGCAAGAAGUACAAGUUACUUCGUCGAGUACCCUUUAGUAAUACCAUUGCACCAACCAUAACCUUUAGACACAUUCUGAGCUACUACCUUGUAACCUUUGGCUUCUAAGGUACCAAGUGAAAUAAGGUUCUUCUUCAAAUCAGGAACAUAUCUUACAUUCCUCAACUCUCUUAUCUUUCCAUCAAACAUCUUCAAUCGAAUAGUACCUAUCCCCAAUACAUGACAAUGUUGAUCAUUCCCCAUCACUACUGCACCAUUAUCUAGCCUUUUAAAGCUAGAAAACCAUUCCCUUAUGGGACACACAUGAUAAGUACCAGCCGAAUCUAAUAUUCACUCUUUAGCACUAGUGGAACAAUCGAUGGAUGAAACACAUAAAGAAUAAUCAGAACCAUCAUCUUCAUCUCUAUUAAUAUGUGCAACAUUUACCUCAGAGUUAUUCUUCUUGUCCUUUGCCUUGGCUUGAAGACAAUCUUUCUUCCAAUGCCCUUUCUCAUGACAAAAAGAACAUUCAUCUUUUGCUAGAAACCCCCUCUACGGCUCCCUACGAGACUCACCCCUACUAUUGUAGCUUCCCCUUGCCACUAAGACCUCUGGUGUUGAGCUUUUGGACUCUUCUUUGUCCUUCUUCAUACACGCAUGAUUUAACAAUGCUGCAGAAAUCUCACUAUACACCAGCUUGUCUUUUCCAUAUGUAAGUGUGAUAGCCAAGUGUUCAUAUUCGUCCGGUAACGAAUUGAGGAGACACACUGUCUUGCUUUCAUCACUUACAUCUGCUCCAAGAUUCACCAAGUCGGCAAUUACCUUGGUAAAAUCAUUAAGAUGCUCCGCCAUUGAAAUACCUCUUCUCAUAUCUAUUCGAUAAAACUUUCGAAGUAGAUAGUUUUUAUUGUGGAUAGUCUUUGUCAUUACUUCUCGUCCAAUUUUCGCCACAUCUCCUUUGCAGAAGCAUCAUUCAUCACAAGGUAUUUAAUGUCUUGAGCCAAACACGAUCUUAUGAUUCCACAAGCUCGUUUGUUCAUUUUCUUCCAAUCCCUCUGUUCCACACCUUCUGGCUUAUCCUCCAGAACAUCUUCUAGGUCUUGUUGACAUAGAGCAUCCAUUACCUCGCACCUCCACAUACCAAAGUUAUUGGUGCCGGUAAACUUCUCUACAUCAAUCUUUGCUUGAUGGAAAACCAUUGUCUUGAUUUCCCCCUUCUCGAAUCCUUCGAAUUCAAUUCUUUUGUCAUCUUUCCACCAACUUUCAUGCACUAAACAAUCACCAAACGAAAGUAAACAAAUCUGAAAUUCACACCGGAAUUUCAACCAACACCUUCUAUGCAACCCACGAACAAAAGGUAGAAUCUUGGACUUGAAACACAAUUAAGAAACUCACUGCGGAAUUUCUUCAAACACCUUCAAGACGCUCAAGAUCUAACCGAAGCUCUGAUGCCACUUGUUGUGCGCAGCGGAAACUAAUGCACAAAUAAGAUGAUUGAACUAGUGUAUGAAAUAAAAUAAAACGACAAAAUCAAAAAAACAAGUAACCACACAAGACACAAGAUAUACGUGGUUCGGCAAUAUGUCUACGUCCACGGGGAGAAAGGAUGAUGCUUUUCUUAUCGAGACAAUUGUACAAGCCCUCACGAAGAAAACCGAAGUCUUCUUCCUCACAAAAGUUCUCAAACUCUCUAAUGGCUUCUCACAAUCUCUCUCACAUCUCGCAUAAUUAGGUUUUUCCAGUUCUAUUUGGCUUUAUACCAUAGCCUUACAAUAGACCACGAAUUGGGCUUAAACAGGGCCCAUAUAGCACAAAAACAAAGGAGGACGUACGUACGUCGAAAUCGGAGAAGUUAUCUGACGUACGGGAUGUACGUACGCCCUAACUACGUACGUACGUUCCUGAACAAGUAAUAAAACGUUCGUACGUCGAAUUGACGUUCGUACGUUCAGCAAAAACCAAGUUGUCUGUGAUACGGGACGUACGUACGCCCUAACUACAUACGUACGUUCCCAGAUAAAAAACUUCCCCUUGUCCUCUUGUUUUCCAUAAAAAACCCAACAGGGUCUUUAACAUGGGCUCUUUAAUAUUCUUGAAUACUUCCUAUUAAAAUCUACUACAACUUUCGCUUUCAUUUAUGUAUAAUCUUUAAAUUUUGUUUAGAAAGGAAGUGAUGUAAAUCUCUAUUUUGGAUAUAUGUUCUACUAAACAGGGACAGGUCUUUAACAUGAGCUCUUUAAUAUUCUUGAAUACUUCUGUGAUCAAUAUUUGUACUGUACAUAAUGUUCUAACUAAUAAUUAUGAUCCACUACAAAUUUAAUCCAAAAAAGUAAUAUAAUUUUAUUUUCAAUUUAUAUUUUUUGUUUGGUAAUUGCAAUGUUAAUAUAUAUGGGGUAUUUAGGUUUUGGUCUUAGGUGUAUUAGGACUUGGUCGGACUUAUGUAAUUAGAUUUUAGGGGUGAUUUCGUCUUUUGACUUGUUUGACUAUCAGUCUAGUACUGUUAACCUUUUUAAGAUAACACUACUAACCCUGCAUGAGAGAAACGCGUGAGAAUUAAAAUUUUGUCAAAUAAUUUAAGAAUCAUAUGCUAUGUGGAAAGAAAAUUAGAAAAUAGUACUUCCUAUAAUUAAAAGUAUUAAGUUUUAGUACUUCCUUUAUUAUUCUUAAGGCUUUGGUCCAAGUUUCUGCCAUGAAUGCAGGGCCGGCUCUGGCUUUCUAAUGGCCCUGUGCAGUAACUUUAAAAAACGACCCUUUGUAUAAUAAGUCAGAAGGAACAAAAAAAAUAUUUGAAUCUAAAAAUCAAAAAAUUCAAUUAGAGAUGGUUCAAGUAAUAAUAUUUGAUAUAAAAUUCUCAAAAAAACAAAAAAAAUAAUAUCUGCAGUACCUACUUCUUGAGUUGUUGAGAAUGCAAAUGAAGAAUUUAGUGUUGAAAUUGAAAUAGAGAAAUAGAGAAUAAUAUUUGGAGGAAGAAAUCUAAUCGCUUAUAAAAAAAUUAUAUAUAUUAGGAUGAAUUUGUAAUACUAGACUUGUUUGUUGAAUUCUUUAGAGAUGGGAAUAAUAUAGGGAAAAAAGAAAAAUUACAGUUCUCUCCGUUGAAAAAAGAAAUUUGGUAGAUAUUUUUCCAUAAAUAAUGGAGAUAUUUAAGAAACUUAAAUAAAAUCCCAAAAUUUUUUCUUUCUUAAUUACAUUUAUCAAUUAAUUAUUGGUGUACUUAAUUCCUAAACAAAUAUUAGAAAGCAAAUCUAUUUUUUUUUUCUUCUCACGUAUCUAUCUAUUGGUUCCCAAAAAAUAAGGCCUCAUUAACUCUGAGGGCCCUGUGAGUCGAACAUUCUACACACCCAAGAGCCGGCCCUGCAUGAAUGAGUGAGGAAGCUUAUCUCUUUUCAGACAAAAACUAUAAUUUUAACAUUAACUUUUGAAGACAAGUCAGCCGACUGGAACUUUUUGUAGCAGAAGGUGCUAGUCUCAUAGGACACACAAUCAGACUUUCAAAAAUGACGAAGUUGUACUCAGGAUGGGUUGUUUCUUAAUGACUUGGGCAUCCGUGCACAACCAGAGCAAAUAUGUAACGAGAAUGUGUAGAUGGGCAUCUGGCUACCUCCAGCAACAGGACAGAUAAAGUUGAAUGUAGAUGGGGCUAUUAGGGGUAAUCUAGGUCUAACUUGUUUUGACAUGUAGCAAGGGACAAUUCAGGUGCAUUGAUAAGAUAAGGGGUAGAAACUUGGGAGUGAAAUCCAAUUAUUGGGCUGAAUGUCUAGCAAUUGUGGAAAUCAUGGAGAUGGAUAUUCAGGAGGAUUGGCUGACUGUCUGGAUAGCGUCAGAUGUUGCAGCUGCUGAACUAUAUGUAGUGUGUAAUUAAAUCUCAACAACCUCAACAUGCAACCCGCAACCUAGAUAUUCAUAAGAACACCUCCUUUGCAAUACAUGAUUCGUUUGUCAAUGAAUUCGAAGAUUACCAAACAAUAAACAAUAGUAAAAGAAGAACAAACCAUAACACCAAGAUAUACGUGGUUCGACAAUGCCUACCUUCACGGGGAACAAUGAGAAGAUUUCACUCUAAAAAAAAAAAGAAACAUCGAUUACAAUAAUCUCCCUAGUAUCUUUCUCAAGAUCUUAAUCUCUCACCUCAAGCUCAAUACACCUUGGCUUCCAAAAGUUCUCUUACCUUUGCUCUUUCUAUCUCUAUUAUUUUCUACUCUUGUUGCUUUAUCUUUACAAAACCAAGUUACUUGGGUAUCUAUAACACCCGGAUAAAAAAGAGAUCCAUAUAGGAUACGAAGUCCAAAACCGAAAAAAAUAUAGAAACAAAGAAUUAGGUUGUAAGGCCUUAUUCCAACUUUGUUUGGCCAAAAUGACAAACUUAUAAUUGUGGUUGUCAAAAGGAAAAAAAUACGUUAAUAAUUUGUUAAAAGGACAAACCCGGAUUUUGACUUUGUCAAAAGGAAAAAUGUUUAUGAUUAGACUUAUAAUCAUAUAGUCACACUUUUUCAAAAUUUCAUUUUUACCCGUAUAUACAUGUAAUUGCCAUUAUGAUUAUACGUGUGAUCAUACACACUUGUCCCUUUGAUUUAUGUGAUCACAACUGUAAUCUUAGUCAUUAUUAUAUGAUGUUUAUAUGUGAUUAGGACUAUGAUCAUAACAAAUAAAUACGAUUACAGGUCUGAUCGUAACAAAUAAAUGUGAUUAUAAGUGUGAUCAUACAUACUCGUGUUGUAAUUUAUGUAUGAUCAUAAUGAAUGAAUGUGAUUACAGGUCUAAUCAUAACAAAUAAAUGUGAUUAUACGUGUGAUCAUAUAUACUCAUGUUGUGAUUUAUAUAUGAUCAUAACGAAUAAAUGUGAUUACAGGUCUGAUCAUACCAAACAAAUGUGAUUAUAAGAUCCGAUCAUACGGUUGCAUAAGAUCGCAUUCCAACAAGAGUUCAUUUAGGUAGGGUAUAGUUUUACUGCAGUUGGUGUUAUGUAGUAUAUGAUUAGACUUGUGAUCAUAUGAUUAUACGUCUGAUCAUAAGGUUGCAGAAGAUCGCAUUGAAACUAGGGUUCAUUAGGGUGGGGUAUAGUCUUAUUGCAUUUAGUGUUAUGUAGUAUAUGAUUAGACCGUGAUCAUGUACUUAUAUAUGUUUGAUCAUAGGGUUGCUUAAUAUUGCAUUCCAACUAGGGUUUAUUGGGGUAAAGUAUAGUUUUAUUGCAUUUAGUGUGUACAGUAUGUAGUAUAUGAUUAGACAUGUGAUCAUAAAUGAUAUUUUUGUCCAAGGGAGUGAAUUGUUAUUAUCAGACCCGUGAUCAUAAAAACAUUGUCCUUUUAACUAAGUGGAAUAUUUUAAUCAAAGAAUUAUUUUGUAAGACCUUAUUUUAACUUUGUUAGGCCAAAAGGACACGGGUAGAAAUCUAUUACCCAAAAGAAGAAAUGGGUAGAUUUUAUGAGAAGGACAAUAAGAUUUUGGGGCUCAAGGACAAUCAACUCAGUCUAUUUGUUUUAUUUUUCUCAAAAUUCCAUUUAUACCCUUCUUCUUCUUCUUCUUCCCCUCUCUCUCAUUUAUGUUAUUGAAUUCCUUGUGAUGUUACAUCUAGUAAUGAAGAUGAGAAUGAUGAAGAUGAUCGAAGUUAAGUUCGAUGAUGAAGAUCGACGACGUUGAAAAUAACCCAAAAUAUUCAGAUAAGUAGAUUCAAAGAGAGAUGGGUGGAUCAAUUGAUUGUUACAAGCUAAAGAAAUUGGAGGGAGGGGGUUAUUUAUUUGAUUUGCUACGUUCUAUUAAAGAUAAAGAAAAUUAUUGAAUCUCAAUUGAAUGGGAAUCUGUCGAGCUUGGAUUUUUUUUUUUCUCUCUCUUUGUUUUGAUGGAUUAAUUGAUUAUAUAGGUAGAAAAUCAAGCCAUUUGAGGUUUGUUUUGUGAAAUUGUUGUUUUAUAUUGAUUAUCAUCAGAUUAUAUAAAGAAAUAACUUAUAUUUGUAAUAAUUCACUUAACAUUGUUUUAGAUACUGAUUGUAACAUGAUUAUGAUCAUAAUUGUGAUCAUAAUAAAUAAAUUUGAUUGUAAUAUGACUGUGAUCAGGAUAUUGAUCAUAAUAAAUAAAUUUGAUUAUAACCAUGAUUAUACACACUUUGUGUCUGUGAUUUAUGUGAUCACAAGUAUGAUCAUACUUGUGAUGAUAAAAUGUUUAUGUGAUUAUGAUUGUGAUCAUAAUAAAUAAAUAUGAUUAUAACCUCGAUUAUAACAAAUAAAUGUGAUUACACUCUUAUACAUUUAGGGUUUAGGGUCAUUAGAGGUAGGGUAUAGUUACAUUGCAUUAGGGUCGCGUAAGAUCACAUUAUGUAUAACUAGGGUUCAUUGGGGUAAAUGUGAUUAUACAUGUAAUCAUAUAAAUGUGAAUAUAAGAGGACUGUGAUCAAGAGUAUAAUGUGAUUAGAAGCAUGAUCAUACUCACUUGUAGAUGUGAUUUAUGUGAUUGGGAGUGUGAUCAUAGCAAUUGAAUGUGAUUAUAGAUUUGAUCAUACACUUUUGUACCCAUAUACAACUUCUUGAGCUUUUCCCAUGUUCCAUUGGCGCUAGUUUCUUCCAUCACAUUAAACAUCACCUCGUCCGAGAUAUGUAGUUCAAUGGAACUCAUGGCUUUGAGAUCUGCUUUGCUCCACUCGUCAUCCUACAUGUCCUUUGGUUUCUUGUCUUUCCCGUCAAAAACCACAUGAAGAUCUUGUUGGAUCAAAACGUUUAUCAUCUUCCUUUGCCAUAGUGUAAAGUUAUCUCUACCGUCAAACGGUUUAAUCUCAAUCUUUACACCACCGCCAAGAGUGGUAACCGAUAGUUUCUUAGCGUUGCUAUUCGUAGGAACACCUGUAAUCUCCGUAAUCUUUGACAAAACCUUAAAUCCAACCUAAGCUCUGAUACCACUUGUUGAACUAUAUGUAGUGAUUAAUUAAAUCCUAACAACCCGCAACCUAGAUAUUCAUAAGAACACCUCCUUUGCAAUACAUGAUCCGUUUGUCAAUGAAUUCGAAGAUUACGAAACAAUAAACAAUAGUAAAAGAAGAACAAAACAAUAAAGAACAAUAACACAAAAAUAUACGUGGUUCCGCAAUGCCUACCUCCACGGAUAACAAUGAGAAGAUUUCACUAUAAGAAAAUAAACUCCGAUUACAAUAAUCUCCCUAGUAUUUUUCUCAAGAUCUUAAUCUCUCACCUUAAACCCAAUACAUCCUUAGGCUCCCAAAAGUUCUCCUACCUUUGCUCUCUCUAUCUCUAUUAUUUUCUACCAUUGUUGUUUUAUCUUUACAGAACCAAGUUACUUGGGUAUUUAUUAACACCCGGAUAGAAAAGAGAUCCAUCUAGGACACGAAGUCAGAAAAAUCCUGCCCGUAAUGGUUUCCUAAACGAAGACUAGAUCUGAUCCUAUGGACCAUACCUAAUAUAAGGUAUGAUUUAGUGCACACCUGCACAUAUGGUGAGCCAAUAUUCAACAGCAGCAACAAUAAGUGUAUUUAAAAAUGGUGCGGUUUCGUGGCAGAUGAAUGGAAGAUGGCAGGUUCGUGUUGGUAAAGUCCAGCUACACUUCUCAUACUUGGAGGGAAGCGAACAUUCCACGGAUCAGGUUGCAGGUUCAAGGUUUCAACCCUUCGAGGAAGUUCACUGUAAUGGGCGACCAGACUGGUUAAAUCAAUUGAAUUUCCAUAUUUUGCUUACCUUUUUGAAAUCUCGCUUGGCUAGCUAAAAGAAGUAGAAAUAACUGGAAAGAAAAAAAGAAAGACAAAAUAAUCACCCAAGGAUUUACUAAGAACAAAUAUAUACAUUUUAAAGAAUUAUGUUUCCCUUUCUCAGCAAUAAUCUCAUUCUUCACUAAAGUGCCCUGAACAAAACUCCUUCUUAAACUCCAUCCAAAGUGUCUUCAUCCAUAAUAUAUGGGCUAUCAAGUGCAUCCGCACAUUCCUCGUAUUAUCUUAGGCGCUUUUACUGAUAGGUAGGGUUCAAUAUUGUCAUCAAUCAAACAAAUUUACCAUUCAGUUCAAUGUUCAUAUUCUGCCAUGGAAGAAAUCCAAAUGUUAAGACAAGAAGAAUUUGGGUUCGAACAAACUAAAUAUUGCUUAAGGAAAACAAAUUAACUGAAAAAACUUCUUGACUGAAUUGUUGAUCAGAAACGCAUUUAUUUUCUAAUUCGUUUCUUUGCUCUUGAGUGAAAUAUAUUAACAAAGCUAUUUUAUCUACAUCUUUUGACCUUUGCCUUUCUGUUGUCAGGCAAGAACAAGCAAUCAUUAUAUCACUAUCAUCCAUCUUUUACUUGGUUGCACAAUUUCUUGUAAAACAUGGAUAUGAAGAACCCUAGUAGACUACAAGGGGAAAGCUCAGUUUCAUUUGAUAUAUUAACAAGUGAGUUUGGACCAAAGUCAUAUUCAAAUGCUGAUCUUAUGAGGUUUACAUCAAAUUUUUCUAAUAAAAUUGGCUCUGGUGGGUAUGGAGAGGUUUAUAAAGGUCAUAUUCAAGACAAUGUCACUGUUGCUGUUAAGGUACUGGAAAACAAGGAUGUGGUGCGUGAGACAUUCGUGGCUGAAGUCAGUACAAUAAGCAAGGCUUCCCAUCGUUACAUAGUUAAACUACAUGGGUAUUGCUUUGAGCCCAACAUGAAAGCACUUGUGUAUGAAUAUAUGGAGAAUGGAUCUUUGGAUAAAAUUUUGUAUCAAAAUCCCCAUAGUAAUAUUGAGUGGGGAAAGUUAUAUGGUAUUGCAAUUCAGAUUGGAAAAGGGCUCGAUUAUUUGCACAAUGGUUGGGAUGAGCAGAUAAUUCACUAUGAUAUUAAAGCAGGGAAUGUGCUUCUUGACAGCAAGUUUUCAUCUAAAAUUGCAGAUUUUGGGUUAGCAAAGCUUAUGAAGAGGGAUGAAAGUCGUGUCCCCUUGACAAGAACUAGAGGGACUGUUGGCUAUAAUGCCCCAGAGACGUGGAUGCCAGGAUCAUAUGUAACUUUUAAAUGUGAUGUUUUCAGCUUUGGUAUGUUGUUGUUUGAAAUUUUAGGAAAAAGAAGUAACGGCAUGGAAGAAAAUUGGUUUCCCCAACAAGUUUGGGAGCAGUUUAAGAACGGAAAACUGGAAGUUAUAUUUAGAGAUUGUGGCAUUCUGGAUAAGGACAAAGAAAAGGCUAACAUACUAUCUAAGGUUGCAUUCUGGUGUGCGCAGGAUUCACCUGAACUAAGACCUUCCAUGACUGAUGUGGUCUUGAUGCUUGAGGAAAAAAUAUCAGUUGGGAAGCCUCCCAGCCCCCCCUUCGGAUGUUUGCAGCUCUCCAGUUGUUCAAUGGUACCAUUACUAAAGGUGAUUCCAGACGUCUGUUCAGAAGUCCCUCCUUCAAGGAAUGAAAGGUAACAUUAGAUACUCAUGUUGAUCUUGGCUUAGUAAGAAUUCAUACUCAUAUAUAAACAUAAACGUAUUUUUUCUUAUUUUUAAAAUCAUUUGUUUAUGAAUGGUAAGACUAACAAAGGUAACCCAUAUAUUUUCAGCUUAUUUGAGAAAAAGUGUGUUGGCAGAGAAGAGGACAAAAAUAACCAACAACUGUGCAAGAAGGUUGGUGGUGACGCUAGUUUGGUUUUUGGAGAAUGUAGCUCAAAGUCAGUGAUGGAAAGGACGACUCUUCUAAACAAAGCUAGUCAACUAUCAAAUGAAAAUCAAAUUUCACAGGUGCCAGAUAUCGGAAGGGAACUACAUGAAAGACUGAGAAGAGAAAAGGCAGCAAUGAUUGCGAAGGCAGAUGAUGUAAAGGCGAGGUUAUUCAGAGCAGAGACCGAAGAAGGAAAGGUGGCUACUAAUUCUGUGAAAAAUUGGUUGCAUUACGUCGAAGAUGUUGGGAAGAAGAUAAGUACUGCCAAUUCACAAUCAGAUCUUGGACAGAAUAUCUCCGGAUUAAUCACAGAGGUGACUGAGUUGACAGAAAAGGGUGAUCAAUUUUCAGGCGAGUCUUUAGCAUUAUUGCCACCUCAAAGGGGCCUGAAACUACCUGUGACGAGUCUAGUAGGUGAAACUACAGCUCUGAACUACUCAAAGAACGUUUGGGAUUGGUUAAUGAAUGAUCAGACACGAGUUAUUGGUAUGUAUGGGAUGGGGGGUGUAGGAAAAACCACCAUUGCCAUGAAUAUCUAUAAUCGACUCCUGGAAGAACAAAAUUGUUUCGGUCAAGUUAUUUGGGUUACUGUAUCCAAAGAUGCGAGUGUUGGCAAACUGCAAAAAGAUAUGGCAAAGGCGGUCAAUGUGAACUUAUCAUUGGAACAAGAUGAAUUGGAAGACUCAAAACUAUUGCUCCGAGCAUUGGAACAAAGAAAAAACGUUGCGAUUAUCAUGGAUGAUAUGUGGGAAAAUAUAUCUUUGUAUGCGAUAGGAAUUCCAAAACCCAGUAAGGAAAAUGGAUACAAACUAGUAGUGACUACUAGGUCGUUGGAAGUGUGCAAGCAGAUGAGAUGUCACCAAGAUAAUAUUGUAAGAGUAGAACCUCUGACGAAAGAGGAAGCGUGGGAGUUGUUUGUGGAUAAAGUUAAUGUUGAAUUUCUUCCAGAAGUCAGAACAAUUGCUGUGGAAGUUGUUAAGGAAUGUGCUGGUUUGCCCCUUGCAAUCAUCACAAUCGGUGGAGCAAUGACAGGAAACAAUGACCUUAGUGAGUGGAGACUUGCUUUGUCCAACUUGAGGGAUUCUAGCGAGCAGAACAUGGAUAGAGAAAACAAAGUGUAUAAAUGUUUGAAAUUCAGUUACGAUUGGCUUCCCAAUGAACAGUUCAGAAAAUGCUUCUUAUAUUGUGCAUUGUAUCCUGAAGAUUGGUAUAUUGAAACAAGCGAGUUGGUUGGUUUUUGGAUUCUGGAUGGGCUAAUUGAGGGGAGCAACAGACAACAUGAGCUUGACCAAGGUCAAUUAAUACUGAAUAAACUAACAAAUCAUUGCUUGCUAGAAAGUGAUACACGAUUUAAUGUUGGUAAUUGUGCACGAAUGCACGAUUUGAUUCGGGACAUGGCCCUUAGUAUCACAAGCAAGUGUUUCAUGGUUAAAGCUGGUGCAUUGUUGACAAGUUUGCCAAAUGAAAUCAAAUGGGGGGAAGAUCUUGAGAGGGCUUCUUUUAUGGAAAAUGAUAUAAAAGAGAUUUCAAUCAGUCCGAGAUGCCCUAAACUCUCAACAUUAUAUCUUCAAGAGAAUAUUUACUUGGAGAAUAUAGCAUGUGAUUUCUUUGUUAACAUGCAAGGUCUCAGGGUUCUUGACUUGCGUUAUAAUCAUCACAUAAAAUGGUUGCCAGAUUCGAUCUCUGACUUGGUGAAUCUCCGUGCUUUAUUCUUUAAUCGGUGUCAAAACUUGAAGAGAGUGCCAUCACUAGCUAAACUUGUACAAUUAAGAACGUUGGAACUUGAUGAUACUGACAUUACAGAGUUGCCUGAAGGGAUUGAAAUGUUGGUUAACCUUAGAUGCCUUAGUCUCACUAGGAUAAGUUUAAGAAAAACGAUUCCAAUGGGAUUAAUAUCCAAGUUAUCCAAACUCCAAGAGUUAUACCUUGAUGAGAUGGAGACAGAUAAAUUGUAUGUUGUAGGGAGUGGGACAUCUUUUGGUGAGGAAUUGUUAAGUUUGAAAGAGUUGGAAUAUCUUAAUAUAAGUUUCCAUUGCUUUUCUGACUAUUCUAGCUAUGUUGGAUCGCCCAAAUUCAAUGGGUUGAAACGUUUUACUUUGAUAGUUGGAGGUGGAGUGCCAGAAUUUUAUUUCGAGGAACCUUUUGAUUUAAAUAAGAUCAUAAUAUCAAUUGGAAUUGACUCCACUGAGAUUGACAUAUCAAUCGUUGAAAACACUGAAGUCCUUGAAGUUGUUGGUUUCAAAGGACCAAAUAUUGGUGUUUUUUCUUGCUUGAAGUAUUUGUACAUAUGUAAGUGUAAUAAUCUCAAAAAUGUGUUCUCAUCGUCUGGGUUGCUGCAGCUGCUCCAAAACCUUCAACAAAUUGUAGUCGCUGAUUGUGAUGAAUUAGAGGAGUUGAUAGAAGGAGGAGAUAACAAAAACACUGAAACACCCAUCACACUCCCUAAGUUAUGGCGUUUGAAAUUGGAAAAUCUACCGAAAUUGAAGAGCAUUUGGAGGGGCGUCCUGAUUUGUGACUCUCUUGACAGUGUUUCCGUACAAAAUUGUUCUGAAUUAAAGCGACUCCCUCAAUUUAAGGGAAAAGAGCAAUCUAUACUAUCACCAGCAUCUCUCAUAGAAAUCAUUGGAAGCACAGAAUGGUGGGAUUCCCUGGAAUGGGAUCCUGCAUAUCCCCAAAAUAUCCUUCAACCCUUCUUGAUAGAACUUCAAGGUAUGUAUGGAUUGAUUUAUCACUCCAAAUGUGUUCAAAUUUUUUUCUGUUUUCUUUUCAUUGUAAUAUAUUUUGAUUAAAUACUACCGAAAUUGAAGAGCAUAUGGAGGGGCGUGAUGAUUUGUGACUCUCUCGAAAAAGUUUGGGUACUUCCAAAUUGUUCUGAAUUAAAGAAGCUCCCUCAAUUUAAGGGAGAAGAUCAAUGAAUACAACCACCAGCAUCUCUGAAAGAAAUCCAUGGAACCAGAAAAUGGUGGGAUUCACUCGAGUGGGAUCCUGCCUAUCCCCAAAAUAUCCUUGAACCCUUCUUCGAUGAAGAAACGGAUCCUUAUCAAUCAGAAGCAGGUAUGUUGAAUAAACCAUUUUCUUCUUCCAAUGGUUUUUCUUAUUUGUUUCAAUGCACAUGACAUCAUUUUUUUUUGUUUGCUUGUUUUCUAUUCUUGAAUGCAUGUUGAAUAAACUCUCCAAUCGAAUCCUUUUCCUGUUAGAUGAAGAGGAGAGUUUUAAGUCAGAUUCAGAGAAGGUAGCUCACAAGAAACAGAGGUUAACAUCCCUGUCAGACAGAGGGGAGAGUUCCCAGUCAGGCUUGGAUGUACAUAAUAGGAUUGGUUGUUAUAAUUAUGAGGUAAACAUCCUUGUAUUUUUUUAAGAAAAAAAAUAUUAUCCAUUUUUCUUUUUUCUAUAAUACUGUAUACUCAUUUCAGACUAUGCAUAAUAUUGCCAUUCUUAAAAGACUUGUAUGCUGACAUUACUAUUAAAACUGUACAUCUCUCUCAAAAUGAGAAAAGCAACAGUCCUACUGUUCUUAGAACAUUGGACAAGCUGACAUAUCUGUAAAGUUUGAUAAUGCAAUACAUGUAUCCUGUAGUCAUCCUCUUACCAUCUUUUAUAUAUAUGGAUCUCCACAGAUGGAUAUAGGGAACCAAUACGAACAAGGGAUUGUGUUUGAACGGGCAAACCAUGGAGACAGUUCAGUUCCUGCACUUCAACCUUUCUUCAGUGAGGAUCCGGAUUAUGCAUCAGUACCCGGUGUGUAGAAUUAAAUAUUUUAUUAACAUUAGGAAUAGUCUCUCUGAAAAUGGAUUAUCAAACAGACGAGUUGUCCUUCCAAGUUUGAUCAAAUGCUUCCAUCUUUUCAUUUAUUUACUUUCCAGAAGGUGAUACACAUAAAUUUUAAUUGUUUGUCUAUAUUUUCUAUUGUUGAGUGCAUCUUUGUGCUAUCUGAUUUAUUAUUUUUUGGUUUUUAUUUAUCAUUCUCGGGAUCCUUUUCUUAUAUUCUUAUAUUCUUACCGUUCAAGUUUGAAAAAUGUAGCCAAUGUGACUUUUUGUCUAACGUUUUUUACUAAAAAUGAACUGCCAUAGAAUUAUCAAAGUUUAGAUAUAUUAGAAAGCAAUUUGAAAGUUAAACUAGAUUAUGUUUAUGUUUGUUUGAGUUUAUAUUCAGGGUGCUCCAAGCGUCCUUAGGGAAUAAAAUAUUGCACAUAUACAUCUUCUUAUUUCAAUUGUAGAAUAAUUAUCAUUCCAUGUUUGGGCAAAAGCUUCCAUCUUCUUCUUUCAAUUCUUUUUCUCAUUGCACGUAAACAUAAUCUUUUUUUUUUUUCCUUUUUCUGUUUUCUAUUCUUGAGUGAAUUUUCCUUGUAUCUGAUUUUGUGUUUUCAUUAAUGAUCUUUUUUUUUAUAGGUUUACAGUCCAAGUGGAAAAUUUUGUAACUUGUAAGAGAAAGGGGCUAACAUUCCGGUUAGAUGGAGAGGAAAGUUUUGAGUCAGAUUUAGAGGAGAGUUCCCAGUCAGAUGUAAAUAAAAUAUGCAAGAAAAGGGGCUAACUUUCAAGUUAGAUGGAUAGCAGAGUUUCGAGUCAGAUUCAGAGAAGGUAAGUCGCAACUGGCAUGAAAAAGAGGCUAACUUCCAAGUUAGAGCGAGGAGAGAGUUCCUAGUCUGAUGUGAAUGUGCAUAAGAAGGUUCGUUCUGGUUGAUUAGUAUGUUCUGCAAUUUGAAGUAGGUUUCCAUAGGGUUGCUAAACAACCUAAUUGAGAAGAAAAGAAAUAUGCAGUACUGUAAUUAUAUCUGGAAAAAAAGAGGGGGUGGGGGUGAGGGGAAUUACCCCUAUUUUCAAGGCUAGGUACCGUUAAACUAGGUCUGACUUAACAAUAAUCAGAACCUGUUCAGUACUACAAAAUACCUAUUCAGUAGCAAGAAUCAUAGCCAUAGGGCUCUUGACAACAACACAUGUAAUGUACGUGUCUGCUCUGCUUUCUUUUCUUUUCUUUUUUUUUUUAAUUUUUUCUUUCUUGUAGCUUAUUCUCAUUAAUUGCUUCAAUUCCUUUGUGUGCAUAUUCCUGCUAUCUGAUUUAUUUGUUCACAGUUUACUAGUAAUUGUUAUUUGUCAUUUAACAAAAUUCAGACUUUAAUGGAUGUCUUAAAAAUAAUUUGUACUAAAGCAUAUUAGGGAAAGUGCAACGUUUUGUUUGAGUUUAUCUUUAACACUGAGAAUUUUGAAAUUUUUGGAAAUAUAUCCAUUAACAUUUAAACUCUGUUAAUAAAUAUGAAAAUAUAAAUCAACCCAAUUGUGAGUGAAAAGAUGGAAGCAUUACAAUGAAUUAACGAAGAUUAAAUCAGAAUGCAAUUUGGAAAUUGAAGUAGAUUAUGUGAAGUUUUAUGUUUGUUUAAUAUGUGACUAUGUAGUUUAAACUCGGGGUUCUCCAGUGUGCUUUGGAAGGAAAAUGAUCCUCCUUCCAUCUUUUCACUCACAAUUGGGUCCAUUCCAGAUUCAUAUUUAUUAACAAAGUUCAGAUUUUAAUGGAUAUAUCAGAAAGUCUUAUGUUUUGUUUGAGUUUAUACAUACAACUAAAAAUGAUCCUCCAUUCCAUAUUUGCGCUAUUUUCUCCAACUCUCAUACCCCAUGUUUGCAUCAAACAACAGUCUGCUAUUGACUACUUGUACAAUGAUCGUCUUCCCAAAUUUCUAUUUUGAUUUGAUUUGUAUUUUCAAGGACAUUUGUGGUCAUGUUACGUGAUGUUUUACAACUUGCGACUGUCAUUAACUAGGCCCAAAUUAUUCUUUCAUGCAGGGGAGCUUUCUUUGUCGGCCAUAAAUGUACAUAAUGAAAUUAUUUGUGAUUAUUGCAAGGUAACAUCCAUCUUGUAACUUUCUUUUCCCUACAUGAGUAAAGUCUACUCACUUCAAUCCACACAAGAUAAAGCACCCAAUGGAUCCUUCUAUUCGUUAUAUAUUUUCUGCCAAUGGAUCUUGUGUUCUUGUUCUACUGGUUUAAAGUUAUUGAAUGAUAAAAUUGGUUUUGAAAAUCUAAACUAGCUCUUUUUGGUAACUGUUCAUUUUAUAUUGUUGACUCAAAGGGAGAUGGCAUUGGGAUUCCAAUAUUUCAACAUUAAGCAAAUAUGAGUUUGUAAAGUUUCCAGCCAUGCAGUACUAUCAUGUUGCUUGUAUGUAUCUUUUAGUCAUGUUCUCAAGUCUUACCACCUAAAUGGCUAUCUCGACAGAUGAGUCCAAUGGUCGGUAUAAUUGCAAACACUGUCAUGAAGAAAAUGUCAUCACUGAGGGAGGUGUGAGUUUUGAUUUGUGUGAAGAGUAUUAUCAUACUUGCUUUAAGCAUUGAGAUCUUGCCAAUUAGCAUCACACACAAGGGCAUGCAUUUGAACUUGUUACAUCCUGUGGAGCCAGUCCAGUUCCUAUAUAUCCUGAUGAUACUUCAGAGGAUGCAGAAGAUGGUCUUGUGGCUGUGAGUUCCCAGUCAGAUGGAGAAGAUGAAGAAGAAUUGAAUUUCAAUGUAUUCUUCUCAUUGUAGAGGUAUGUAUUUAUAUAUAAUUGUCUUGCAAACUAAGUAAUAGAAGUUAAUAAGUAAAUCGAAUCAUAGAAAUAUAUUACAUAUUAAACAUGUGUUAAACACUAAGAAUGUUCCUUUACAGAAGAGAGUUCCAGUGUGACGGAGAAGAAAGUUUUCAGUCAAACGUCAAUGUAACUCACAAGUGAAGGAGGCUAUGUGAGUCAGAUGGAGUAGAGAGUUCCCAGUCAGAUGUAAAUGUAAUUCAGAAGAGGAGGAGGCUAUAUUAUCAGUCAGGUGGAGAGGAGCUCCCUUUCAGACCUAAAUCUACAUAAUCGAGUUAUUUGUUAUAAUUCUUAGGUAAAAUCCUUCUUUUUAUAUUAUAUUAAAACGAUAUUCUAGAAAGUUCAAUCCAUAUAAGAUAAAGUUGCCAGUGGUUUGUUCAGCUUGAUAAUUGUGUUCUGCAAAUGGAUCUUGUGUACUUGUUUUACUCCUGCAACCAUUUAGAUCUUGCCAAUCAGCAUCAUCU